rnacentral:lncRNA from 1 species
AGAGAGAGAGAGAGAGAGAGAGGUGGAUGAGUAUGAGGUACGUACCUGCUGCAGAAUGGCAAGGGCAGUGGUGCUGCUGCAAUUGCCAUGGCUGUAACUCCCACAAGUUCCGUGUGGAGUCCCAAAGCUCGCAAACUUCACCGAGGAAAUGACACGAUCGGAGUGAGGACAUUCGAGAUGGAGCACUGCGUCCUUUUUCUGUGCAGUGUUCACAGCAUCCACAGGUGGAGGGUGGGACUGAGAGACGUGUGCACACAAGCUUCCCGCCGCCCUCAAAGCGAAGGACACCAGAGUCGGAUCUCCACCCACUUCCUCGAAAAGAACCAGUCUAUUCGUAUUGCCUUGUUGGAUCAGCGAGCGAGGAACAUGGUACCUGUCAAACAAGCACCAAAACGAGUUGACAUGAUAGGAAGAAGAAGGCGGCUCUGCUUUGAGAUGGGGAAAUGCAAGUCUUACAGUGACUGAGAUGGCUGUCCACAGUUCCUGACGCACUUGCUCCCGCUGAACGGUCCUCUGUAGUCGCAUGAUUGGACACAGCCGCUCGGUGGAGAGGUAUACGUCGGCCAGUACCGGCCGAUGCUGUGGCCAUUCACCCAUGCCUCGCCCUUCCCCAUUCCGGUGAAGUCUAUUGCAACAGGGUCAUCGUGCUCAGGGGCAUCAAAGUACGUCUGCAAGAGGAAUUAGAUAGGCAUGUAUUCAUAUCAAUUUUGUGAAUCCACUGUAACAUUUUGUGCACUGAAAAUAUUCUCCAAUCUUUACUGAACAUGAUGAAAUUUACAGAGAGACAAAGAACUCACCAUGUACCAUGUCAGUGGCUGAUUUUUCGGCAAGGAAGAUAGUGACAUCCAUGUUGAAUUUUGUGUGUUGUCAUGCAAUGCCAGCUGUUCACCUUUGAGUCCAAUCUGCAUCAGCACACAGCUUAAGAUGAAGAAGCCAGAUGCCAAUCAUUGCCUUCUUAUCUUUGAGAAGCAUCUACUUUGAAAGCUUUAAGUAGAUAUCAGCCAUAUAUUGAAUUUUUCAUUUCAUAAACAUUAGAAUGAUAAAUAAUAUACAAAUUGCACACAAGAAACAAUUACUUCAAUUUUUACAAGAUUUUGAAAGAUUAUUAUUGUAUCUUAAUCACUCGGUUUACAAUAUUUUAGUUUCAUAACUAUCUGUCUGAAGCAGUAUGUAAUUGCAAAGGACAUGAGAAACCUGAUAAGUCCACUGGGAUGAAGAAAGAUCUCUUGUGGCAUUGUGGUUCUUCAGGAUCACACCAGUGAUUCCAGCACCGCUUAGAUCAAAAAAUUGACCAUAGUUCUGUGGAAGAGAGAGAGAGAGAGAGAGAGAGCAUAUCAAGCAUAUAUUCACAUAAAGCUAAACAAAUUGUAGCAAUAUAACAAUCUAAAGAAACAUUUCCAUAUCUUAGAGGGGAACACAACCUUAAGGCCUACGGUCGCACUUAAAAGAUCAAUUCUGUUCUGUCCUGAUGAAAGUGUGAUAACAUUCUCCAGUUUAAAACUCGCAUCAGCAUUGCUGCCUUGAUUACUUGCUGUAGAAAACAUGGCAUGCCAAAUUAAGCAGAAAACUGGUUAAGGAGGAAAGCCUGAUAGCUACAGGAAUAACAUAUGACCUGAUAAUUUGCCAUUGACAAAAACAUGGAGGACAUGACCGAGUGAGUCCACAUGCAGAGUAGUCUGAGUGCCAUUGAAAAGAAAUGGUUCGUUUCCUAUGACAUCAAUGCUGUAGGAGCAUGAAGAACAGGACAAUCAGUACGUGAUUUACAUCACUGUGUAUGUGAAGUUGCAAUAUAACUCUUACCUUAUUGAAUACCACAAGUAGUCACUGGAAUCAGCAGUAGUAUUUAUCUGCUCAAGCAAUCCAACAUUUUUGAAAGUAGAGUUGAUGGAACCAAUAGGUUCUGUGAAGAAUUUCCAUUCUGAUUCAGAUAUUUCAGAGGAACCAGUGGAUUCAUCUGCAGCCUGAUCGAAAGUUUUGGUGUAUUUCAUCUCCAAAACAGUUGUCUGGGAAUUUAUCUGCCAUUGACAUAGAAUCAUAUAAAAUCCAUGGAUCAGUAGCAGUUUUACAACAACAAGAUGUGGCAGUUGUACAUGGAUAAAUUGAACUAUAUUAAGUUCAUUAUAGGCAUUUUUACUUUUUGAAUGACUGGAAUUUAGAGAUCUUUCCCAUUGAGACUCAUCGUAAGAUAGUUAAGCAUACCUUUGCAGUAUUGAAUGCAACACUUUGGCAGUCAGGAAGGAUGCUCACAGACCAUGCAGGUAACUGGUAUGGUUUGCCAUUGAAAGUAACAGUUGCAUCAGAAUGGUCAUCUAUGUUGGCAAGAAAAGCCACACAUCUCCCUGAUGAUGUCCUAUAAACAUGGGCCUAAAGCAAGCAAAUAUUUUAGCAAUGUGACAGAAGAAAAAUGCAUAAAGCAACAUUAGUGUAGCAUACCAAAACAAGGGUGUUACAAUUAUAAAUCAACAUUGCUACAACUAGUAGGAUUCUAUUUACUUGCUUACAUGAGAAGUGCUAUCAAAGAGGUCCACUUGCAUAAAAAAAUCUCAUGAAUUCAGGUGUUCACAAGUUCUUCAAAUAAGGAACUGUUUGCCUAAUGAUAUUGAUUAGAAGUCCUGUAUCUUUGUAUUUCCAUGAGAUUGUCUUUUAUGCAUGAGCACAACGGCACAAGGCUACAAUAAUUCAGAACUUCUAUCUAUGCUCCCUCAUUCUCCAUAUCUUAUACAGUGCCAAUCUAAAAUUGAUAAUUCAAAACACAAAAUCUCUCCAUACGCAAGCCCUCUUGCAUAUAAAAAGAAAAAAGAGCAAAAAUUAAAAAGAAAGCUAUCUUACUAGAAGUACUCAACAGGAGAAAAAGGGGUCUAAUGUAGUAAUAAUAAGAACAGUAAAUGGUAUAUGCAUGAGGAGCAUUCAAGGUUGUGUACCUCUAAAUUUUUGCCAAGAGAAGUGUAUGUUGGAUCGGUUGCCACCAAUGCUUCUUCACACUGCUUUAUGACUUUGUGCAGAUCUCUCAGGUGGCCCCAUUUUGGCUGCCGAAGAAGUCCUGAUGAAGUGCAACAAGAACGAUAUAUAAAAAAUUGCAAGAGAAGAGAAAGUUGUUUCCCCUCCAAUUUGUAUGUAAAUCAAAUACAGAGAGAAAAGUUUCAGAUUGGAGGAUGCAACAUUUGGUGAUUCAAAAUGCUUAUAAUUAGUGCUACCACCAAUACAUCACUAAAAAUAUACUAUAUAAUCCAAAAAUAACAGAUUAUAUUCUUACCAUAUUCAUCAAUGGGAGAAUCAUAAUCAUAGCUUGUAGCAAUAAAUGGUCCACCAGAAGUGCGGCCAAAAUUGGUUCCACCAUGGUACUGGAAAUGAUAAAGAAAAGACAUGUUACUACGUUAUUUACUGAUGAAAACUUCGACAAGAUGAAAUAAACAACACUAUCUACAUACCAUGUAAUAGUUUUGGAAGGUACCACCACGUUGGAAGAACCUGGCUACAGCAAAUGCAAGGUCUUCAACAGGUCUGUAAGGCACUCCACCACCAAAAGAAAGGAACCUGGCAGGAAAGGAGACAGAAAUGUUUGGUUAGGAAAAGCUUUUGGUCUUGUAAGCAUUGCAUCGAACACCAGAAGUACCAGACACAACGAAACAUAUGGCUAUCGAGAGCUACACUGCCUUACCAUCCACUCCAAUUCUCUGUCCACAUCUUCGGUUUCUUGUCAGAGUUGGGCUUAAAAUUGUCACAGUAAAAUCCAUUGCAAGUGUUGAUCUGCAAAAGAGAACAUGUCUCGGCAAUCAAAUCGGUGCGCAACUCCAUUAGCAGAGCAGCAUUUUUGCUCAUCAAACAGAACAUCAAGAAAUGGAUAGAAUUUGAAUCAUCCAACUCACAAUGGGGUCAGGGGCAUUAUCUUGUUGGCACAUCACCCAUGGCACGCUCACAUUCAAGGAAGUAGCCAUGGAUGCAGCCCAAUCAAUAUAAGACUUGGCCGUCGGACCAUAAUAUUGCUCAACAUUGCCAUACUCAUUCUCAAUCUACCAUGGGCAAUAGAGUGGAUCAGCUGCAGUGAUCAAUAUCGAUCUUGUCGCAGAAUUUAAAUCAACCUAUAAAGCAGGAGAUAAGCACCUGAGACAGAAUGAUGGGUCCACCUUGGGAUGCAAACAGCAUUUCCUGCUUCAUCAUGUCCACAAUCUUUGUCGUGAACUUUUGCAUCUCGUUCUGGAAGAAAAGAGAUGUCAGAGAAACACUCCAAAAGAACAACUAAUGGGAACUCUCAACGAUCAGACGGGCAGUAGAAAUCAAACUAGAAGACACUUUAACCUUGAAGGGAUCAUUGUCAAUCCUGAACUUGAUAUUUGGGAUGAAGUGCAACCACACAGGAAACCCUCUGCAUCAUAUGAAAUCUCAGAACAUUGAACAAAGACAGACUAAUUAUGUGGAGGAAUGAACCCUUUACGCACCCGUAGUUCCACUCCGCGCAGACAUAAGGCCCGAUCCUGAGAUGAACAUAGAGGCCGGCGGCCGCCACCGUCUUAAUGAACUUCACCAAGUCCUUCCGCCCUCCAAAAUCGUACUGUUACCAAACAGACGUCUAUGUUAGAGAGAGAGAGAGAUGAGAUAUGUGAAAUAUCAGUGGGAAUGACCUGGCCCUGCACGGGUUCGUGGAGGUUCCAGAAGACGUAGGUCUCGAUGACGUCGAGGCCGCCAUCCUUAGACUUCUGGAUGAGGUCCGGCCACAUCUGCAGCACCGCAAGCUCUUCCGAUCAGCUAAAGCAUUAAUAGCGGAGAAGCUAAUACAUAGAGAGAGAGAGAGAGAGAGAGAGAGAGAGAGAGAGAGACCUCAGGGGUGCUGCGGGGGUAGUGGAUGGAACCGGAGAUGAGGACCCUCCGCUUACCGUCGAUCACCACCGCCCGGUGAUCGUACGACACAGUGGCCGCGGAACAUAGCUCGGAGCAGCAGCUGAGCAGCAAAAGAAGGAGGAGCAGAAGCGACGUAGACACGGGAGAAGGGAGCGUCGGGUGGGCUGCCAUGAGCAACUGUGUUGGCGUAAGAAGAAUGCGCGCAGGGGAGCGGUCGUGUUCGGUGUGAUCAUGCACGGGCAUGCAUCCAAGCGGCUCGCAAGAGGAAGCGACGUCUUCUUCUAAACACGAUGUAGCUUCCUAUUAAUAACUCUCCUCUUCCGUUGAUUACGCUUCUUUCUCAUCUUUAUUGCUGUUACUACUGUUAUUUCAUGCUUAUCUCUUAUUAUCUGUCCUUAACAGAUUUUAUUUCUUACGGAUAAGACAUUUAUCAACAGGUUGACUUCUUUUUUAUUUUUUCGAAAAAAAUAUUUUUUUUAUUGUGUUUAUUUUUAUUAUCUUUAUAUUAUAAAAAAAUUAAAGUAUUAAUUAACGAGGAUAUUUCAUUAAAAAAAUGACAUUGGAAUCAAAAGAAUCAUUUUGAUCGAAGACAAAUUGCAUUUUUUUUUCUUUUAUCAUGUGACAGAAAAUAUAAUUCAAAAAAUAUUUCCUCGAAAGACCUAUAAAAAUUUUAUUAGAAAUAGUAAAAAGAUAUUUAAAUUUAUCAAAAAAAAUAUCAUUAAUGUCUUGAUCAACCCAACGUUCCUCGAGAUGCCACCUACAUGAAGAUCGAGAUCAAAAAACUAAUUUGUAAUCGACACUCUAUUUUUUAUCAUUUGUCCCUUCUCCUACUGCAUUUGAAAGUGUGUUUCGAAGUGUGUCAUUUACGUGAAGGCAAGAAGUUCUUAGUUGUAAUAAAGCUAAUUCAACAACACGGUAAUCUGGCAAGUUCAGCUUGAGAUCAUAAAUAAACCGGAAUUAACAGUACAAGACAAAUGGCUUGAUUCAGAAAUGGCAUUCAUGGAGUUGAGAUAAAUGUCUUCUUGUUAACAGAAAUAUAAGCAGCAGUAUCCAAAACAUGGAUGAGUUUAUCUUCCAUAUUGGAAUGGUAAACAGAUGCUUGUCUGAUAUGCCAUAUCUUCUCAAAGAACACAAGGAAAAAGAGCAUUUAUUCGCAAGUAACUUGAACGUCAGGCGACAGCAAUUUAUUGAUGAAAGGUUCAAGCAACAGAUUUUUGAAGCUUAGAAACCAAUCAAUCCUGAAAAGACAUCAGACUCAAAUGUACCUUUUGGGUUAUAAAAAUGCUUACAAAUGAUGGACAUGUAUAUGGAAAAAACAUCAGAUCUUACCACCAAAACACUGCUACUUUGCUCACAUCAAAAUGCAAGUGCAAUGCCAUGAAGGAUUGCUGUCUGCAGUGCAGAAUCCGAAAUGGUAGAUUGUGUAAAAGAGAUGAUGAUCAUGUUCUAAUGCAUUCUGACCGAACCGAACUAUAAUUAACUGCACGUAGUUUCCUUGACGAAGCAGACCAAUGAAACAAAUCUGAAAAUAUGAACUAGUAAUCGAAUUUUUGAAGUCCUUGAUUCUCUCUUCUCUUCUCACAUCAACCUCAGAAGUUUGGACCUGCAGCAAGGAUCUCCUCAGCCAGUUUGGCAUCUUCACCAAUCUUGUAGUUAGCAAACACCUCAAAGUUCUUCCUGAACAGACCAGCCAGCUUUAGCAAAGUCUCCUCAUAGGCUGCCUUCUCUGGCCACUGUAAAGCACACAAAUCACCCAUGUCAGGCAACAACAUCUCCGCGAUCGACAUCGAUCAUUUGUUCUACAAACAACUGACUUACAGUGUUCUCCGGGUCCAAAAUCUCCGACGGCACGCCUUCAACUUCAGUAGGUAUCUCCAGUCCAAACACUUGUGUCUUCUUGUAAUCUGCAUUCAGAAGGCUGCCGGAGUGUAUGGCGUCGAUAAUUUUCCGAGUGUAUGCCAGCUUAAUGCGGCUGCCGAUACCGUAUCUGAAUAAAAGCGAUAAGGUAGCCAGAGUCGAUCAGAUCAAGUUUUUCCAUGAACUAUAGCCUGUAUCACCGAAAUGUGGUGUGUAAUCUCUUACCUUCCGCCAGACCAACCAGUGUUCACAAGCCAUGCUGUGGCUCCAUACUUCUGCAUUUUCUCAACCAGCAUGGCUGCAUACCGAGUCGGAUGGAGCAUUAUAAAUGCUGCCCCAAAGCAUGCUGAGAAUGUGGCUUGAGGUUCCUUGAUGCCCUCCUCUGUUCCAGCCACCUGUUUUGUGCCCAUGGCAACCACCAUGGAUACCAUUACCAACACUAGACAAGAUUCCAAGAGAAGUUUAGAGAGUACGCACCAGAGCAGUGUAGCCACUGAUGAAAUGGUACAUGGUCUGAGGCAGAGUGAGCUUGCUGACGGGUGGGAGAACGCCGAAAGCAUCACAUGCCAAGAGGAUGACGUUCUUCGGGUGCGGACCAACACAUGGUAACUUCGCAUUAGGUAUGUACUCGAUUGGAUAAGCAGCUCGGGUGUUCUCUGCAACAGCACCAGUAAUUCCAUCAAACAGUUUCCGGGCAUGUAAGGAACCUAUCCAAAUUCAUGCAUGCAGGAAGUCCGCUUUAAGAACAGUACCUGUGACGGAUUUGUCUGAAUAAUCUACUUCCCGUGUGUGCUCAUCGAAUACCACAUUUUCCAAUACUGCAAAUGCAAAACGAUUGCAAGAAUGAUACGCCAUCCAAAUCAAAAUGUAGGGCUAGAUUCGGAUGUUCACCUGUUCCAAACUUAAUGGCAUUCCAGAUAUCAGGUUCCUUCUCCAUUGAUAGGUCGAUGCAUUUUGCAUAGCAACCACCUUCGAUAUUUGAAAUGCCAUUCUCACUCCAACAGUGCUCAUCGUCACCAAUGAGCAGCCUGUUACGAUCCGUGGAUAGAGUGGUCUUCCCGGUGCCUAAAAAACAAUGAACAGACCAUGGAAAUGAGAAUUCAGGGAGUAGUGACGGGCAGGUGGCGGCACCACGUUUGACGAGCCCGAUCUUACCCGAGAGUCCAAAGAAGAGGGCAACAUCACCGUCUUUGCCCAUAUUGCAGCCGGAAUGCAGGGAGAGGAUCUGUCUCUUAGGCAUGAGAUAGUGCAUCAGACUGAACAAACCCUUCUUCAUCUCCCCGGCAUACUGUGUGCCGAGGAUAACCAUUUCCUUCCUGGCAAGGUUAAUGUCAAUGCUGGUCGAGGAGGUCAUGUAGUGCGUGUACCGAUUACACGGAAACUGUCCGGCAUUGUAAAUUGUGAAGUCCGGAGUUCCAAAGGUCUCGACUUCCUCGGGCGUCGGUCGGAUGCACCUGCCAUCCAUUCAUCCAUCCAGUCAUGGCACGUAGAAUUGGCUAUGCUACACAAAAAUUUCAUGCUUUCAAUGGUCUUCCGAAGCUACAGGAGCUGCACCUAUUUGUCAUCAUCCACUCCGACCGAUACUAAUAGAUCAAAAACCAUACAAGGAUGACUUCGAGCAUUGCAGACGACAACUGCAGACUAAUAUUCUUACUGUCACUUCUACUUACAUGUUGUGCAUGAACAAGGAAUGGUAGGCUCUUGCGGAGACGAUUCGAACUUUGAUCUGAUGCUCAGGAUCCCAGUUGAGAAAUUGAUCGUUCACAAAAACCUGUAUGAGGUAAAUGACAAGCUAAAUCCCCAAGGCAAAUUGCAAAUUGGAUGAAAGAAAUCGGCAUAGUAGUGGCGUUAAAUUGUCUCGAGAGUGACUCUUACCUUGUCCAGAGAGUUCAGGUAAUCAACUGCCCUCUCCCUGUUCACCAUGAAAGUCUGCUCAUCCAUCUCAAUGUUAGGUGAGCCCCUGCGUACGAUGAACGAUUCAAGGAGGAGGAUUCGCCAAACACAUAGUACGGCACACAAAUCUUACAACACAGGAUGUGUUGGGAGACUUACUUUCCCCACCACAACUCCUCAGCGGUUGUCUCAUCAUUGACGAUGCGUUUGUCCCUCGGAGAACGACCUGUUUUGGCACCCGAUAAGGUGGCCAAAGCCCCUGUCGAGGUUAUGAACGAUCCCUUCUCGUAUCUUAUGGCCUGCUCGUACAGCUCUGCAUCAUUGUAAUGGCCACUGCUAGUGUUAUUGUGCAUGCCAUGAGGAAAGAGAACUGUGGUCUUAAUGGUGUAGCGACGGCAACGAUGUGUGGUAAUUGAAGCUAUCACGAGGCGGCGUACCGGCAGGGGAGAGAUUGUGGAGGACGUGGGUGAACUUGAGAGAGCUGUCACUGACGCUGAUGCUUGGGGUGAAGUAGUGGUGGUGCACGGCGCCGCCCUUGGGCGCUUCCGCCUUCCUCGCCGGGUCACCCUUCACCACCUUCGGCCCCGUCUCCCGCGUCAGCGACGCCAACGACGCGCUGCCAUCAACAUCACAUCAAAUCGAGUUAGCACAGCGGCGAUCGCAAGGAGCGACACUACCGAACCAAGCCAUGGGCCACCGGAAUCCAGCAUCGUAUCUUUUGUCAGGAACACAAAUCUGACGGCGAAGAUUCUUUUCAUUUUUUGGCUAAUUGGACGGCGACGUUGGUAGAAGGAACGGGGAGGAGAGAUGGUGACCUGAUGGACUGGAGCCGGAGCUUGUGGCGCUCAUCCUCGGACACGGUGGCGAAGGCGGCGUUGCCUUGCAGCAGGCCGUCAUUCAUGGGGGUGCCGGGCAACGACCGCUUCUUCUGCAAGGAGUGGAGCUCGUCGAUGGUUUGCGCCUUAACGGGCAGCGCGCUGUCGUCGUGGCAGAUGCCAUCCUCCGCCUUCGUCUCGAUCCUCGCCAGCCCCUUCCCGCCGCCAUUAGCGUUCCCGAGUUCGCCUUUCUCCGCCAUUUCCCCCUCGUUUCUACCGAAAUCCAACUCUCAAUAUAUCAGCAAAACAGUGUAUGAUCUCAUCAGAGACAGCUUUAUAUACAUAAAUAAGCAAACGUUAUCGUCUCUAUAUCUUCUGGAACAUCGGCGCAUGAACUCAUCGAGUCAUCUCAUUCUCACCACCAAACGUUUCACUCGCAAACGAAGAAAAAGAAACAAAUACCUCAAGGCGAGCGAGCAACAGAAUAGAGAUGGUAACGAUGAAGAAGAAGAAGAAGAGGCACUAAGAGGAGAAGGAAACGGAAGGCACGACCAUGCAGUUCUCGUACACGAGCCUCACGAGAAGCUGUAAAGAAGAGAGGAACGAGUAAGAAGGCGAGCUACAGGGGGAGCCUUAUAAAGGCGCGCAUUGGGUCAUACGAACUUUCAUUCACCUUAUAAGAAUUCGAAGCAUGUGACGUGCAUCAGUACAAAUGGAAUAUUGUUCGUCAAGCCUUUACAAAGGGACCGUUCGACCCAUUCAAUGGCCACCGCUUCACCCGCGGCUGCGCGCAACCCUUCCGAUCCAUCCAUCAUACCUGUCCAUAUGUACGUAUCAGAUGGCACAGCACUCGAUUCGGUGGACAGUUCUCCGACGCAAAUCCAACCUCGGUGUAGGGGACGCUGCAUAGCGAAGGUGUGAGAGUCCAUCGGACCGUGGUGGUCGUGUCCACAUCAAUCAAUCUGUGGCUUCCACAUCGUCGACUGAGGUGAUGGAACGAGAACUGGAUACAAGCAUUUGGUAUUUCCGUACUUGAAUAUUAUUACGCUCUUUUGAGAGUUGAAUUUGAAAUCUUAUUCGUCAUGAGAUUUUGUAUGCUACCUAAGCAUUUUAUCAGAUUAGUACAAAAUAGUGAGAUUCUGUAUGCUAACUUAACUCCUAAGUAUUUUAUCAGAUUAGUACAAAAAAAUAUUCAUUGAACAUGGAAUCAAAAUGAAAAUCUUUAUAUAAUCCUAAUUAUAUACCUACUAAAAUUCUUUAAAGAGAUAUAACUGGGAUUGGGUUCAAGUAUUUGUAACAUCCACAUUGGAUUUGGAUUGAUAGGGAGAAUUAGGUAGGAAAUUUAUAGUGUCUUGGAGGAAGAAAUUAAGGAGAAGUACAUUGUCAUGCGAUGCCACAAUGGAGCUAAAACAUCAAGAUUUCGAUUCAUGCCUGAGAUGAAAUCUAAUAUCUCCAUACCAAGUGAUGUGUACACUUGAAUGUUUACAUGGAUGAAAACAACAGGAGCUUAAAGUGCGAAAUGAACAAAAGAAGAAGAAUGAAAAAGAAAACCUUUUAUUAUUUUUAAUCUAGAUUUUGAACCAAAGAGCUACCUUCCCUGCACAGAAUUGGCAAUCUGAGAUGACCUCUGUUAGCUCAAACAGAUGUUUCUUGUCAUAGAAACAUUAUGCUAGUGAAAUGCACUUGAUCAAAUUCAGAUGAAAAUUAGAGGGAAGAUAAAGGAUUGAUGAAUAUUUGACCGAGGAUCAAAUACUAUAAACAUGAUAAUGGCAAUCAUUUACCAUAACUGCACCUGCUAUGGAAUACAAAAUUGUCAAGUUUCAACUCCAGCAUUCCACAUUGGAGCACAUAUUUACACUAUAUUUUGAAUCUUUGAUAUCAUUGUUGAGGUACUUGAACAAGGUAUUUGAAAUUCUAUGACACAAAACAUUCUGGGAGCCAACAUUUUUGUCAUACUAUUUUCUUGUUAAAUGGUAAGACUAAGAACUGAUCAGCCGACAACAGAUUAACAGUGGAGAAUUUUUCUCUCUUUUUUUUUUUAUCAAACACAACUAACAAUGAAAAUGGCUGCUUACAGAGGGCAGACAUGAAAUCUGCACCAGAAUCCACUAAAAUGAUAGCUUUUCUAUGAUUAAUCUGUACAUAUAACGGUAUAUAUACCUUCCACAACAAGCAGUUACCAAUCACAGAACUGCCAAUCCGUCCUUGAGCGGCUGCCAUGAAUGAAAGUUUAUUUGUGUUAUAGCCCGCACCCACCACUGUCCUAUUGGAAGAAGCAGUACAGAAAAAUAAAUUGAGGUGCCUGCCAUAAACAAAGAGUAUGAUAUAAUUAACUAACAAAACUAAGCCAUUUUGUUCAGACAUCAAGAAAUAGUAUUGUGCUUAUAAUUUUGGUGGUCGCGUCUGAUAGGUCAAAGUAAUUUCAAGCAAAAUGUUGUGCAAAGUUCAACUAGCAUAACAAUAAAGUGUGUGUCAAAAUAGUUCAUGAAGGAUUUAGGAAUGCAACCUCAACAAAAAUUUAAAGCUGUAAAAAAAAAAAAGAAAUAUUCAUAUCUUAUUUCAUCUUUGAAGGUGUUGUGCUAUUUCUACCGAAAGCUGAUACAUGACAAGAUAAAUGAAUAUGAAUUUAAAGAACCGUCAGGAAUUAACAAUUUAAAACGAUUGACAUAAGAUCAAGAUUAUACCUGAAUCAUAUACCUUCAUCAUAGUCCAUUAUAAAGCCUAAGUACCUUUGGCAGCAGGGUAUCUAUAGCCUAGGUAGUCACCUGGCCUCCUAGAUGAGCAACUUAGACCUUUAUAUUGUCAAUCUUUUCUCAAAAUUCUAAAUUUUCCAAUAAAUUGAGAUUUUAAUGUAUUUAGAGGAUAAAAAUUACUGAACAAAACCACAACCUUCUCUAACUUAUGUUUCUUCAACUAUGACAAGAUGUUGCUUGCUUUCAGUAAAACAGAUCUCCCUCGUUCAAGUCUAUGUACUUGAUCACUUGUCACUAUGGGUUCUUGUUAAUUGCUCGACCACCUAUAGGUGUGGGCAAUGCCAAAGGCAUCUUGGCAGCAUAGGCCAUGCUGUAGAUUGCAUAAAAGUGCAUUCUGCUGGUGCCAAGAACAUGGCGGUGUAACAGGAAGUAAAAUUUCAACCUACAUACUAUUAUUGCAAUGGACAAGCAAAUUUAUAUGAUAUACAUGUCUAUAGGCAAUCAUAGACAAGAAUCACUAGAUAUAUCGACAUACCAAUAUAUAUAUAUUAUGUAUAUAUGUAUAUAUAUAUAUAUAUAUAUAUAUAUAUAUAUAUAUAUAUAUAUAUUAUGUAUGUAUAUAUAUGUAUAUGUAUAUAAAUAUAUAUAGGUAUACAUACAUACAUACAUACAUAUACAUAUAUACAUACAUAUAUACAUACAUAUACAUAUAUACAUAUAUAUAUAUAUAUACAUAUAUAUAUAUAUAUAUACAUACAUAUAUAUAUAUACAAACACGUAAACAAAAGGGUUUUUCAAAUGGCUAAACCUAUCUUUCUAUGCAUACAGAUCUCUUUUAAAAAGAUAUCCACGCCAUUCCAUGCACAAAUGCACAGGACCAAUAACAACAUAAAAGUCAGAAUAAACCAUGUUGAGGUACCUUGUGAAGGUUGCAGAUUCUAUGUCAAACGAACAAUAGCAUCAAGGUUCCUAGAUAACUGCCACCCUUCAGGAUAAGCAAAAUUUCUAGCUUCUUCAUGGAGAUGCCAGUUCAUGAUCCUUGAACAACCAUUUGGUAAGCCUUCCAUUUGACUUUCAUCCUCUACUAUCUGCUCUACAAAUGCACUCUCCUGCAAAAAAUGACAAUUUACUGUUCAAAAUUUCAAAAUUAUAAUCAAAAGUAAGAUUUGUCAUUAAAAACAUACAAAAGAAUUUUUUCAUGCAAGUAUGCCAUCAGUAUUUUUUAUUUCUAAAGGAUGGAAAAAAGAUCAAGAUCUAAAACAACGCAAACUAGGGGACCAUAUAGCUCACUAGAUCCACCUGAUGGUACUUGAGAAAUGAUAGAGAAAUGGAACUGUGUUGUUAAGAUGUACAUCUAAACUCAAAUCCUACAAAGUGCUGUUCAAUUGUUAAAACUUGGAAAAUGUUUAAGCUCAAUUGUAAACCCUUCAUAAAGAAACAGGGACUUUGUGUUGCUAGGUCAAAUAUUGCAAGAAAUGAAUUUUGAUGUUAAAUAUGCAAAUAGUUAAUACAGAGAAGCAAAAUAUAUAUAUAUAUAUAUAUAUAUAUAUAUAUAUAUAUAUAUAUAUAUAUAUAUAUUUAUUUAUUUAUUUAUUUAUAGGGAAAAGAUCACCUUAUCCGCCUUUGUGUAGGCCCAUUUUCUCCAAGCCCAAUUGUGUUACAAUUUGUAUCACUGACCCCACUUAAAAGAUACUUCACCAACAAACUAGUCUUUCCUUACCCAUAUGCCAAGUGACGACUAUAUGUUACAUUGUGAUAAUGAAAGGAGUCGAUGUCACUAAUAUGGUGCAAUGAUGGGCAUCCAAAUAGCAUGACAAUGAUGUUGGUGCACAAGUGGCACUUAUGUAGCAUCCAUUGGGCUUAAAAGCUAUUUUCUUAUGUUGACAUGGUUGAAGAAGAUACAACAAGAAGAUGUCAACCUUGUUUAUUUGCUUGUGAGGUGAUAAAAUAUUUAAGGUCAAACUAUCAAAAGAACUUCCUCCUCUAUACUAUUAUCAAACAAAUAACAAAAAUAGACAAGACAUUCUGGUGCACCCAGACUCAUGCAGUGAAGGGAUGAGAUGGUGCAAAUGAGUCUAGGUCCAUACAGAUAAUUCAGUGGACUACUGGAAAAUUGCUUAUCUAUAGUUUCAUUUAUAAAAUUGAACUAUCAUUCAUUCUUCUGUCAUUUCUGCUAUAGUUUGUAGUUUGGAUCACCAAGAUUAUACUAGAAGUCAAAACUGUGUACCUGAAAAUCCUCCUCCACGGUGUCUAGUUGCCGAAUGGCAUCUGAGUUUGAACGAUGCCAUCUCUCGUGAUCCCAAAGCAUUGUGCUGUUGAAUGCAAAUCCAGACAUAUCAACAUGAAAUCUGCUAUGUCUCCUGCUCUUCUCAUUAGUAUGCCAGCCAAUUAUUUGACUUCCAUUGCAUACUGGCCCUUCUAUUAUUACAUUAUUUUUGCUUUGAGCAAGCAUAGCAACAGGCCAAACACCAAAUCUCCUAAAAAAUACAAAUAGAUCAGUUGUGUAAUAAUAACUUGUUAACUUACUUGUUGAGGAAUGACAAAUUUCUAAAUGUAUCAUUUAAAAAAAUUUAGUCAGCUUUAUGAGAUAAAAUAGGCAAAUAUACAAUCCAUUUCCAAAUAUAAAAGUCCUACCAAAAUUGAUUUUUUUAUCGGUGUUCAGGUGGAGAACUUGCAUAAUUGCAUAUGAGUUUGCUCUUGAGCCUAAGAAAAAAUAUAUAUAAUUGAUUUGAACACCAAUAUAAUGAAACCGAUUGCCUCAAGGAUCUAGAGAGACCUUGAGUAAAUGUAGGUAGGUUCUGCUGAACCACUAAUGUUUCUGGUAAGCACUAGUUCAUCCCCCUUUUAGUGGAUGGACAAUCUAAUGUAUUCAUGAUUACUCAACUUAAUUCGCUAAUCAUUGUGUAAUGUCAUUAAUUCACAAAAUAUAUAAAGAAUAUCCUCCAUUCAAGAGGGAAUUCUUUCUUGAUAAACAUAUGCUACUAAUAGUUUUCGUUUUUACUGUUUCAGCCCAACAGCUACACAUGACAAGGACAUAAAGUUAUGGCAAUGGUAAAGCAAUAACCUUAAGGAAUUAAUGUCAGGCAGUUCGAUUCUGUAUUAGCACUAUAGACAAGGUAGCAAGACUCCAAGAAUACUAUCAUUCAGUACCUGAUGUCCCUCAGGUGCUGGAACAGCUCGAGCGAGUAGAUGUUGCUCUCGACCGCAAAGUACACGAUACCAUCCAGACGAUGCCGCUCGAUGUGCUCCAGCGCAGCGUUCCGCUGGUGGACGCCCCUGUCCCUGCUGUAGGUCGAGUUUUUCUUGCAGGCAGCGAGAUGUCUGUACAUGACACCACUGCGCCUGAGGAUCUCCGCCGUCUCCACGGAGGUUGCAUUCAUUUCCACGACGAUCCAGAGCAGGGGCGGCGACACCAGCCGCAGCGUCUGGCCCAUCCGGAUCAGGUAGUAUCUCUGAAAAGCUCUGUUGUACGUGGGCGUCACCACGAUCAGCAGCUUCCUCUCCCGCGAGCGAUCCUCCGGGAUGUCGUUCGGCGGCGGCACGUCGCCGUCGUUAUCGGAACGUAAGACCUCGAUCUCCCUGCCGCCGGAGCGGAUGUUGACGGCUCCGAGAUCCCGGCGUGGAAUGUUAUCGUUACCGGCGGUUGCCACGGCGGCGGCGGUGGUUAAGAUUGAGGAAGAGGAAGCGAAGGAGAGGUGGUGCGGCCGGAAGCCAAAGUCGUCGAGCUGCGCCAAGGGAUAAAGGCCGAUAAAGAAGCCGAAGGCGAAGAAGAGGAGCAACCGAAGGAGUUGUCUCCUCCUCCUCUUCCUCCUCCAUGAACUAUGGUGAUGUUGCAGCUGGCCGCGCGAGAAGAAAGGGACGGAAGAAGACGACGACAGAGCAGAAGAGGAAAGGGAUUGGUGCUGGGUAGUGUUAUGGCAACAAAGGGAAUGAUUGCGGAAGGACCGAUCGAUGAUGUUGGCCGCCAAUAGCGUUCGACGGAUCGACGCCAUGUCUCGGAAGCAUCAAGAAAGCAAGCAAUCGAUCGAUUAACCAACGGCGAUGAGAUGCCAAGGGGAUGGCCAAGGAAGAACGGGCGGAGGAGGAGGAGGGUUUGGGCGGCCACGAGAGUGGCUGGGUUUCUCCUCGAACUGCGUUCUUAUCGUCGUCGUCGAUCGUUAAAUUUGAUUUGAUUUGAUUUGAGUCCUCACUCACGGAAAUUAACCCACGUCUUGUACCAACCGUCGGACCCAAACGCUUCUCUCUCACGACACUGGCCCCGCACAAGCUCAUGUCAAUCUCACCCGGGUACGACAAGUUAGUAUGAGAAAAAAAAAACUCCGAUUCCGCCGACUCACAAAUCUACCUCACUUGUGAUUGGAUAGCAGUGAUCUCAAGUUAUGCCAUCUCAUCGUCGAGGCGUCGGCAGUAGGUUCCAAGGAGAGGGAAGUCGUUGGCGAAGUCGCGUUCCCUCGCCCAGCUAACUUCCCGGCCGCCUUCUCUUUGGUUGGACUCGGACGACUUCAAAGCGUCGGUUUCGUAUCGAAGCCUUCCGCUUGGGUACAACCACCGGACGAGCCACAUAUGUCAUGUCUGGUCUUUGUUUUCCAUGAUCAACGGAGUUGGUAGUAGAGUUGUUCUUGUUUUCCUUUUAGCUAUCAACAUUUUUUGAAUAUAUGUAUUAUAAUUUAGUUGAUUUUUUUUUCUAAGAUGUUAACUAUCUUUCUCAUAACUAUGGGGAUGAUACGAUGUGAAGAACUAUCGACACCUCGUAAUUGAUCGAUACCUUAUCAUCGUAUGAACGACGUUUCAAUGUUAUUCAAAGACACGACGAUUAUAACUAUACAAAGUCGAUUACAUACGAAGUUGAUCUAAUCAAACAUAAUCUUUUAGUCACGACCUUAAAUGAUACGUUCAAGACUCGUAGAACUUAGUUUUGGCGGAACGUGCAAGAAAUUCAAUGCAGCCAAUCUGAUGAGAGAAUUUUCUUGGAAUUUGUGAUUAGUUAUGAGUAAAUGUUCACAUCAUUAAGGUACAAUCUGGAUCAAUCAUUGCGAAUGCAAUAAAAUAGACUCAUCUUGAUCGGCUGUUUCCACCCAAACCAUGGUGUUCUGGUCCAAUUAAAUAUGACCAGAUAGCUAUUUAGGCUUCACUUGAUGAGUUAAGAAAUCUUUAGGUAGGAUUAGGUUUGUGUCAAUCUUGAUGAGUUAAGGAGCUAAUGAGCUAACGUAGGAAGGCAUUUAGAGAACACCAUUGUCAAACUAUUUGGGCAGGUUUGACUACAAAGUAUGUGUUGGAGCAGAAUUGGGGUCUUAUUGUUGACUGGAAUUCGAGUCUAAGAGAGAAUUAAGAUCAAAUUUUAGGCAUUUGUCGGACUCGAGUGUGAAUUGGACUCGUAUUUUCUUUGCUUGUAAUAUAUAGAUGUUGAAAUGUGGAAGUGACAUGUUAGGCCAACGUAGACUUACCACGUAACAGGCUUGAUAGGGAAAUAUGUUGAUGAUUGACUUAGAAUACUUAAUCAGUUGGAUUUGGUUUCGGUCUGAUUGUGUUAGGAACCUACAAAUUCAUUUAAAGUGUUUUGUGGUGUUCGAUGUGAUACCAACCUAUAUUAAAAUUAAUGUUGAGCAAAGUUGAUCUUUCUAAUGGGUAAGGUGGGUUCCUAAUGAUAAGAAGGAUCUAGAGAUGUCGAUUGUGUCUACAAGUAUCAGGAUAUGUAUCUAAUGGGGUGGGAAUAAGGGAAAUAAAUGGAUAUAUGAUAGAAGAUGAAGCUUGUAUGAAUAUGGGAUGAGGACGGAUAGAGCGCUCUUCACCUCGUCCCUGUACUAAGACAUUAGACCUGAACACCUAGCCAACCUAAUCAAAAUUAGAUUGGCUUGAGCCUAAGUUGAGUUGAUCGUAAGAUAAUUACAAGUUAUUUAAUUCGAUUGAACUAAAUUAAAUAAUAUCCAUAUUCAGUAAUAUCCUACUCCCUCACAACCUACAUAUCGGGGAAUUGAUUAAAUAUUUAACCAUUGUUAUUAUUUAUAAAUUUUGAUAGUAUUUUUUUUUCUAAAAUUGAAUAGAUUGAUUAGGAGAGUAUGGAGAACUCACAAGUUUUCCUCUUUUGGUUUGUAUAUAUAUGAGGAAUAAGGUAAGGAUAAGAGAUGACAUGGAGACGGAAAUAGAGGAAGUACUCUAUAUCUUGUUGACAUCCGUGGGAGGAUCAGACUUUAAUAGUUACUAGGAAAAAUAUUUCGUAUAGUAGAUAUAUUAUCUAAAUAGUUUUUUAUUUGACAAACGCUAAUGUGAUUGGAUCGACGAUUUAAGACCUUUUUCUUAGUGAAUAUUAUCAAUACUAUAUUGAGUGGAAUCACAGCCAAAAAGAAUUAUCAACUAACUCAUUGGAUUCCUUAAGAUUCAUCCCUUUCAUAUCAUUUUUUUUAUAGUUUAGCUUCAUUAAGGAGCAAAAAGUCCCUUUUUGGUAUAAGAACAAUAUGAAAUAUGAGUGAUCGUUAUUAUCAUUAAAGUGCAACGAUCCGAUGAAACAAGGUAGGGGUGCUACUUAGCAGCCUUAGGAUCCUCCUGUAUGAAAUGAGAAAGUAAGAUAGGAAAUUUACCUUUAAAGAUGUCCUCUUUAGAGAAGAAUGCUUGAUCCAAGUUGUUGGAUAAAUUAUGUAUUUGUUAUUUUAUUUUAUUAGAGUUGGAUUCUGAUCAUCUCAUAUAUCGAGCCCACCUACGUCCAUUUGUUAAAAUGUCAUAAGUGGAGUAUCGAAUUUGGGAGGAGUUUUAAAUAUAUAUUCUCAAUAACUACAUCGAUGAUGAUGUACUCAAUAAAAGUUCCUCCGAUACUUAAGUGAAUAUCCAAAGAAACUGAUUCAAACGAUAAAAGAGUCAAACUUAAGAAAAACGAGUUAUGUAUAUAGUAGCAUACAUGAGUAUUUUUAUAGUGAAUUUUUGAAACUCAUAAGAGGAUAUAUGGUGAGUUAACGAGAAAAAGUCAUAUAAAAUAAUUAUUGAACAUAUAUUAAGUUCGACUAAUCAUGCAUCCAAGUAAUUAUUGAGCUAGACAUGAUCUAGUCAUCAUUGUAUUAAUGGUAGUAUGGCUCACUUUCGAGUUUCAUUUAUCGAUAUGUUAUUUUUAUUUUUAUGUCAUAUAUUGGAUUACUUUUGAGCUAAGCUAUAGCAAUUAUUUGAUCCAACAAUCGUAGAUGACUUUGACAUGUUCUAAGCACAUAAAAGGCUACACGUUGAUGCUAUCUACGAUUGUAGAUGAUAAAUAUAAGGUCAUCUUUGAUGGUGUAUCAAAGUGUUAUAAUCGAUCAUUAAAGGUUCCACAUGUUCAGCUGUUAGUGAAGAUAGUUUGUGAUUUGCUUGUGCCCUCAAGUCAACAUUUACGCGUUGCAUAUGGGGUCACAGAGUUAGGCUUUGAAUCAUCUCAUCCAUCAAAAGAGGAAGAAGAAUGCAAGUUGAUUACUGUAAGAGGCAAAGUGAUCCUCAUGUCAAUUGGCUAUUAUGUCGCUUAGUAUGUUGCUGAGGACAUUGUCGAAAAUGGUCCCUCGUAAAUAAUAUCCAAUAUAUUAUUUUUAUUUUAGCAUACGAAAGAUAACAACAAAAUUGUAGUCAAUGAUGUUUACCCAACUCUAUCAAAAGAAUAAAAGACAGAGAGAGAGAGAGAGAGAGAGAGGAUUUAAAUCGAAUACUAUAUAGAAUUUCAAUUAAUAGUCGGAUGAUAGUAAGAUGACAGAGAUUAAUCACAAACGACAUAUAUGAGUUGUCCGAUUUUAGAGGGCUUUUUAGAGGGAUAAAUAACUUGUUUUGCAUUAAGUGCAGGCUAUCGAUUAAUGGCAUGUCUCAAAGCCCAAUUGGCCCAAUUAUCUAAUCGAUUUAUUUUGCUCCCAAAUGAGUAAGGAUCAAUUUUGCAGAGACUUGAUCAGUGUUGAAUGCAAUUUAGUCUUCUCAAUAGGUUUGAGAGAGAUAUAAGCAUCAACAGUAGAAAAAUUUCCAUACACAAGUGCCCAUACGACAUAAGACUACAAAGCAUGCGACGAACAAACCCUAGACACUUUGUCGUGAUGAAAGUUUGUAUGAUAUUUGCUCGUCACCAAUCAAUAUUCUUUCUAUACAAGUCGAAACUAUGAAAAGAUUGACCAUUUGUGAACAUGUCCGUGACAUUUGGUAUGUUCAUGUUUUGCAUAAUAUGUAGAUGGAUGGUCAAAGGUUUAAUAGUCCUAUUCUACUGGGGUUUGAUGGUCGCUUUAGGCUUGUAAAUAAAGAUAGUGUCACGUGAAUACUUGUGAGAGAUUUUCGGUCUGUAGUAAAUCAUUUUAACUUUUUUUUGUAUAACUGUUUAGAAUUUGUACAGUCUGUUUGUAAUUUGCAUUGUCUAUGAAGUGUUUUCGAAAAUAUUUGUUUGUGGAUCCUGAGUUAGGCAUUUCUCUAACUCGUUUUCUCUUUUAUAGAUCCUAAUGAAUCAUGGGAGGUUGACCUUUGAAGACGAACACGCAAGGGUGCCGCACGACUUAGCCUAAAUCAGUUAAGUCCAUGACAAUCGCAAGGAUAUUUUAGUAGAUAUUAUAGUUAAACUAAUAACUGUCACUCACUCCAUCCUUCUCUCUCAUCAUUGGUGUCGUUAAAUAAAUUGUUCGCAUAUGAUUGGGGUGGUGGUUAAAGAUAGGUAGCAGUCAGAAGUAGCAGCAGCAGCUCAUGGCUUGCAUGUCACUUAAUAUAAUCCACAAACGCAUCGCCACUGAUCUCCCUGUCUGCUUGUCUUCCUCCAUGGCUUCCCUCGAGCAAAUCAUUCACCUCAUCCAUGUGAUACCGCAACGUAUAAUAAUGGUACGAUUCCUGCAUUCAACUUCACACGACUGAUCCGAUGGAGGAAUGUGCUGCUGCUUCUGUGUCUACGUAUCUUCAUCCAUGUAGCAAUACUAAAGGUAAUGGGAUCAGGAAACCCUAGAUCGAUUUGAAGAAGAUGAAGGAAGAAGAAACCAGUAGAGUCUCGCAUGGCAUGGCUUCCCUUCCCCACGAAGCAAACUACGAGACCUGUAUCCCUACUUUCUCAGUAAAACGAUGAACCACGAUGUAUCACCCGUCCGACGAAAUGCUGCUAAGGAGGUGGGUUUCCACAUGGUAGACUCGUGCAUCAAAACCAUGCUUCCGGUGGUCAAACUGGAUCCGGCAAAGCUUGUGGUUGAAGGCAAGACGCUCUCUCUCUCUCUCACACACAUAUACAUGUAUAUAUUAGUUUCUUCAAGAAGGAUCUGCAACGCCAUGUGGGAGAUGUCUGCAGGUUGAUUUCUCAUGUGCGUCGCCCAAGUGUUGGACGAGACCAUGUUCGCUCAAGUGCGUGCUGCCUGCCGGUAAUUAAAGCUUGAUGAGUUUGACUCACAGUAGAGAUUCUGUCGGCGCCACUCGCAUGUGACGACCUACGUACGGUGUUCAUGAACUGAGAUGAGACGUACCAGUCGUUCUUCCCUGGACUGAGUUCUUGUGAUUGAAUGAACUCUCUCUCACAAAAAGAAAGAAGAAGAAGAAGAAGAAGAAGAAGAAGAAGAAAUAUGUCUAUGCCUUUUCUUAGUUUCGAAAAUUUGCUCAUAUGAUGACGAUCUCUAACUCUUCCAUAUAAUUCCCAGCCAUAUCUGUCUUUUAUCGUGUCGCUCUCUUUGUUGUCUUCGGAGUGCAAUCUAUCACUGCAAUUGGAUUGCAAACCGACUUUGCUAUUACGUGGAUUUCCGACGACCGGUUGUUGUCGGAGACAAGACUUGCCCAUAUAAUUAAUUUCUGUCAUGUUCCUCGUUUCUUUAUUUCCUUUUCCCAUCAAUUUCAAUGUGGAAAAGAAAGUGUCCAAUUGAUGCUCACUUCGAAAUUGACAUAAUUCACAACUAUUUGGAGUUAUUUUUUAUAUUGUUUUCAUGUUUCCCAUAUGUAUGAAAAAUAAUCGUAAAUGAUCGUAGGAUCUCGAACAUCCGAUUGAUUUUUCGAUAUAAUUCUUUCGACACUCAAAUUAAUAAUGAAAUAAAAAAAAAUUAAAUAAAAUAAUAACUAACCUUAAUUAUUAUAAUUUGAUAUUUUUUAUAAAUAAUUUAAUAAAAAAAAUUCUAAGUUAUAAACAAAAUAUUUGAAUAAAAUUUUAUAUUUGAUCGAUAUCUAUAUGAUUCAAUCAUUGAUCGGAUCCCUGACUAGAUUACCACAUGUCCAACCUUAAUUUACUGAAUAUUUUUCUAUCACAAAUCAAUCAUAUUAUAUGAGCUGUUCCCUAUCAUAAUAUUUUGUUAUAUUUUUUGGGAAAAAAAAUCACUGUUUAUGACAAGACAAAUGUGGUGUAAGAUAGGAGAGAUAUUGACACGUCAUCUUCCGACCUGAGGAUACGUAAACACUUGUGUGGUGAGAAUGUGAUUCAUAUAUGUUUUGUUUUCCGUGAAGACGACUUGCACUGCCAUUUCAGCCAAACGCACGUCAUCGUUACUGUUACGUUACAGAUCACAUCAUCGUCAUCAUCAUCGAGCCACGUAUUAAUCGACCCAUACUGCACGCUUUCCGAUGUGAUUUAGAGAGCGAGGGAUGUCAAACCAGCAGUCUGAUGAAGGCAUAUUCCGAUGACUGCAUCAAGUGAUGCUUUAGGCGAUAAUAGCAAUACUAAUACUAAUAAUAAUGACGAUAGUUCAGGGGAACGUGGCAGCCGGGUGGCGCGCCUCCAAAGGCAGCCGCGUGUCCACAGUGGCGCAAUGGCGACGAGAGAGAGAGAGAGAGAGGGACGUUUGGGCACAUCAACUGCGGCAUCCCACGUCGACUUCCACCUGUCCUUGGAGAUUCGGGUUCCGCACACCGCCACCGAUUCGUAAGUGGGAGUAUCUUUUCGUCUCGGCAUGCCGACGGAAGUGACCGCUCCGCGGUAGCGUGUGGGACCCGAGCGCGUCACGAGCGAGGCUUUGGCCACCGUGCCCCGGGUCCCGCACGGGGGCCCACGUAUGAGACGAAUGACCCAGCUCGUUUGGCAAAUAGGUUUUUCCGCGCGUCUCCUUUCGAUUUUUACGUUGACCCUCGAAAUUUUGACCGCGGAAGCCGCCUCUCUCGCUCUCUCUCCCCGGCGGUGAUUAAAUGCUGCUGUGCUGCAAAUUAGCAGCGGCAGACCUGCGCGAGUCCUUCCAUUGGACGAGUGCGGGCGGUGUUAAUGGUGGGGGUGUGCGUCAGACUGAGAAGACCUUAUUUUUGGUUCUACUCCCAAAAGAGACCUGGACAGGGCGUCGUCGCACGGAAAGGACGAAGAAGUCCAUUAAAGUAGCAAAGCUAUGAAGAGGAAUGGAGCGGUUGGACGGCGAGCAGAGAGGAGACAGAAAAGAACGGUUGCCUUUCUUUCUUCCUUUUUCUUUAUUUUAUUUUAUUUUUUCAAGUACAAAAGAUCAAUUAUAUUAAGUUGUAAAGUUUUAUGCAUGUAUCCGUAUAGUUUUAUUCUUUGAAAGUUUAUGAACUCUAAAAAAUUUAUUUAAGAAUAAAAAUAAUCUUAUAGACUUAUGAGUCCUUGACUAAAUAUUUUUAUCAGCGCUCUUUCCCAUAUAAGAGCUAAGGGCUCAAGGACCUUCUUUUAGCGCUAAUAUGAUAAAUUUAUUUGAUCGAUUCGUCAUUAGUGAUAGAAAUAAAAUAGAAAGAAAGAAGAUUGUAUUGAUGAAACUUUAUUGAAGAAAAAGAAACUUUAGUAUCACUACUGCUGCAACUGCUGCAACAAAGACACUUCUCACUCGAGCGAGAUGCGAAAACGAGGAGAGAUCGCUGGUCGGGGAGCAGUUGUGAGGUCACAUUGGCUCUGCCUUUGCAGGAAGAGGCAGAGGAAGGGCGACAAUAAAGAAUGCCGUCGGUGCAGGGAGAAGAAGAGGGAGGAGAAGAAAGCGUGAUGUGAUGGCCCUUGUUCAGCUUCGAAGGAGGCCGACGUAAUGAUCCUGGAGGACGUCUGUGGAAAACAUUGCACUACUUUGAGAUGGAGUCACGAUCCACGAGGCAGUAGGAGAAGGAGCCGAGAUUCGAUGGAGUCCAAUAGGGAGAUGGGUCGAGAUGUUUAGAAGUGGCCUUUACCACGAGAGCGCGAGAGCUCUGAUACUAUGAUAGAAAUGAAAUAAAAAGAAGAAGAUUAUAUUGAUGAAGUUUUAGUGAAAAAGAAGAAACUUUAGCUUGAAUGUAUUAACAUGCCACUCUCCUAUUUAUACAUAUUAGAAUAGAGGAUGCUAUCAAUUGGUACUGUCCGCAAGCUUGUGAAAAUUUAUUCACUUUGAGUAAUAGGCAUACCCGUAUAAUUUUAUCCCAUUAAAGCUACUAAACUUCAAAAUGUAUCUUUCAAAAUAAGAAUGACCCGAUAGACUUACGAGCCAUUGAUUCUCCUAUUUCUUAAUCAAUAUUGACUAAAUAUCUUAACGAUUAAAAAACUAUCAACUAAACUGAAUUGCCACCCAGCACAAUGAGAUAUUAGUGAAUCAUGAUCAAAUUUUACAAAAUCAAUCGGUACAUCUUUUAUUUUAUCAAGAAUUAAACGACGAGAUAAGUGAUUCGAAAGAAUUCCAAAAGAGUAGAGAGUUAGAUAUUACCUGUGCCAGGGGGAAAUAGUCAUGGGAGAAGGCUUUCCUUGCGGAUCAAAUGGACGAGAAGCAGGGGGUGUUUGUUCUCACCAUCUCACCAUCAAUGCUAAUGCUAGCAGGAGCCGUCGAAGGAUCGAAGGGACUCGCCUUUGCUAUUGGAACAUGGGCGGGCAACGGGGGCCAUCGACGAGCGUCCGUCAACCUUCGCCCCGUUAUUCACCUCCGUUUAUAGUGAAAUCGAUGUAGGAGAAGGAUGUUCGUCCAUGUCUUUACGACCCAAUUAUAUGUGGGGGAAUUGGAGUUGAUCUACAAAGAAGAAGGGUUGCUUAAGGACAGAUUGGAGAGGGAAAGUUUGCGGGGGGCGAGGUGGCGUCUGAUAGAUAGAUGCACUGUUGACUUUGAGAUCCAAACUCGUCUCGAUGCAGGAGCAAUUGUUACCGUCCGCAGUGAUGCCGAGCGCUUUUCUUAUCGUUCUUUUGGGGAGCUGUGUUUGACGCAGCAGAUACAAGUAGCUUUCCGGGAUCCAGAAACGCCUACUGCCUUUUUUACUCUGCAACGACAGUGCCUUCCUUAAGUGCAAAUCUUCGUAGGUCCCUCAGCUACCAUCUCCAGGUCUUGUCAGUCGAGGAAAGGAAAGAGAUUGGAGUGGUUUGGCUCCGGAGGGUGAGACGGGUGGCGGGGUGGUGAUUGAGAUCGUUGGUGUUGAUACCGGGAACUUUGUUUUAUUUGAUCUCCCGUUGCUUCUACUGCUGCUGUUUCUUUCUCAUGGAGAACGGCAGUCGAUGACGACGGUGAUGAUGAGGUGCUUGUGAGUGAUAAAUAGGCUUCGGAGAGAGGAAGCAAGGAAGCUGUGAGCGGAGGAAGGAAGCGAUGGGAACAGGAGGGUGGAAGAGAGCCUUCUGCACGUCGGUCCGUCGAGAUACGGAUGCUGCUGCGACGAGGACGAGGGUGGAAGCGGGGGAGAAGCAUCAGCGCAGCCCCAGGAGCUGCGCCAAGCUGAGCUUCUUCUCCGGCGGCGGCGGCAGCAACCCCUCGACGCCGAGGCUGGCGCUGGCGGAGGCGGCCCCGGGCCUCCGUUGCCGCACCAAGUCGAAGACUCCAGACAACAAGACGGUGCAAUGCGACGCGGCCACAUCUUCCGUCCCCACCGCCACCACUCCGAGGAGUCGGAGCCCCGCUCUGUUUCAUCGGCAGGCCUUCUCCGCGCCUUCGUCUCCGAGAACAGCCUCCAGAUUCGCCCUCUUCAAGCACCUCUCCCGGGUAUGGAAAAGCUUGCACCUUUACCUUUGAUUCCCGCUAUUUCGUUUCUUUUCAUCUCUUUCUUUUUAAUUUGGUCAAUGUUUCCUCCUCUCGAUUGCUGGAUCUCGUGAGAGAGUCGUAGCUUUUGGCCGUGGUGCGGCGCUUUGAUUGCAGAAUGAUGGAGGAAUGGACCGAACUCCCUCCCCAUCUUUUCCAAUCAUUUCAGCUGCUUUUUUUGUCUUUUUUUUCUCAGCCUUUUGUUAUGAUCGAAGCAUGUGAAGUAGUACUCUUAUUGUUGUCGUCGUCGUCGAAGGCUACUGUUUGUUCUCAUUCUGGUGGUGGUGGAACUGCAGAGCCGGUGCAGGAUAUGUUCGCUGAGCCUGAAGGCGAGCCAGGAGACGCCAGUCUUCACGGCGGAGUGCUCCCACGCCUUCCACUUUUCCUGUAUUGCCGCCCACGUCAGGAGCCACGCCAGCCUCGCCUGCCCCGUCUGCUCCGCCUCCUGGCGCCACGCGCCCUUUCUCUCCGCGCUCCGCCGCCGAGAAGACGAUGCACCCGAGCCAGGGGCGGCGGGAGAGACGGAGAACUGGAACCCGAAUAGGAGAACUACCAACGGCGGCAGCCGGAACACCAGCAAAGGCGGGGAACGGCAGCUGGGGGAGAACAGAUUGGCUGCCGGCGCCGCCGCCGCCGUUGUUGCUGCUAAGGUCUAUGACGACGACGAGCCGCUGCUGGUUGUGUCGAAGCCCAACCAGGGAGGGGUGAUGCGAUUCAAUCCUAUACCAGAAGCAGCCAACGAGGACAAGGAUGAGGAAGACGGCGAGGACGAGGAGACGGAGGACGUGGAACGAGACGACGAGUUUUAUGGGCUCCUUGCGACCCCUCGCGCCCGAUCUGCCAGCCGCACUGACGGAGGAGUCCGUCGUCGGCCGACAUCGAGGUCCAGGGCUGGUGGCGGCCUUGUGAGCGUGAUGCCGCAGGCGGCCCUGCUCUCGGAAGGGCGGAGGCACCGAAGCUACGUGGUGGUUCUUAAGGUAAAAGCGCCACCGAUAGGAUCCUUCGCCCCUCUCCGCGCCCCGAUUGAUCUGGUGACAGUGCUGAACGUGAGCCAAGGCAUGACAGGGGAGAAGCUCCGGAUGCUGAAGCGCGCAAUGCGGCUGGUGGUUUUCUCUUUGGGCCCCGGGGACCGGCUCUCCAUAGUGGCCUUCUCGGCAGCCGCAGGUGCUAAGAGGCUCCUCCCUCUACGACGGAUGUCGAGGCAAGGCCAGCGCGCCGCCCGCCAGGUCGUGGAAAGGCUCGUCGUGGUGGGCGGUGGCGCCGCCGCGAGAGGCGCCAGCGUCAGCGACGCCCUCCGGAAGGCCACCAAAGUCCUCGAAGACCGCAGGGAGCGCAACCCGGUGGCCACCAUCAUGCUCCUAUCCGACUCCAGGCAGCAGCAACCGGAACAAGAGAAGAAGGGGAGCAACCAUCAUGAUUACAAACCCCUUCGCUCGCCGCGUGGUACCGGCGGUGGCCAUAUCGGGCUUCAUCCUCUAGCAACGACGACCGCCGCCACUCGCUUCGCGCAUCUGGAGAUCCCCAUCCAAGAUGCUGGAUUUGGAGACGGUGGAGCAGAACGACCGCCACAGAAACAGGGUCAGGUGCCAUCAGAAGACGCGUUCAUCAAGUGCGUGGGCGGCCUCGUGUCCGUGGUCAUGCAGGACGUCCGCCUCCAACUUGUCUUCCCGUCCGGCGAAUUUUCUGCCGUGCACCCGUGCGGAGGUGGCGGCGGUGGCUGCGAAGUGGCCCUCCGAGGAGGGACUUCUGUCAUCCGGUUGGGGGACCUCUAUGCAGAUGAGGAGAGGGAGCUGCUUGUGGAGCUGAGGUUGCCGGUUGCGCCGCCCGGCGGACAGGGCGGGCACCACCGCUUGUCAGUGAAGUGCAACUACAAGGAUCCAGCCACCCAAGAUCUCGCGUUCAGCGCGGAGCAGAUCCUUCUCUUGCCGCCCCUCCUCCAGCACCACUCCGAGCUCGGCCGUUCUGCCUCGUCCUCCGCCAGCCCGACCACUUCCCUGCGCCUACGGAACAUCUUCGUCUCGACCCGCGCGGUGGCGGAGUCGCGGCGCCUCGCCGACCUCUCGGAUUACGCCACGGCCCGACACCUCCUCUCCUCCGCUCGCGCGUUGAUUCUGCAGUCCGCUUCCGAUGGCCGCCAGGACCACCACCUCGUCCAGAACCUUGACGCGGAGCUCGCCGCCCUCCAGCGGCGGCGGUACCAGGCGCAACACCGGCUUCAUCAUGAUCAGCUGCAGGAAGAGGUCCUCUCGCCAUCCGGGAUGAGGCGCCGGCGGCGGGAAGCUCCGGCGGAGGUGCGAGGGGAGCCUCUGACGCCCACUUCGGCUUGGCGCGCCGCCGAGCAGCUGGCCAAGGUGGCCAGCACGCGGAAAAGCCUGAACCGGGGCGGCGAUCUACAUGGGUUCGAGAACGCCCGGUUCUGAGUGAAGACCGACCCAAACCCUAUAAAUAAUCCAUUCUCCUUUCUUUUAUUGUAGACAUUAUUAUUCUCAAAACAAUGAACAUUCUCAUCAUACAUACAUACAUCCACCAAUUGAGUUAGGCGACAUUAAAUCAUCCAAAAAUUAUAGCUUGCGAUUUUGUCCAAUUUGUGCAAUAUUAAGGAUCCUAUCAAAGCCAUUCAUCCCACCUUAACUUUUAAUCUCAACCACCAAUUUGCUUUAUAAAAUCAACUUUAUAAUAUACAUAUGUAUAGUAUAUAUACAUAUGGAAGCAGCAUAUAGGUUUGAGAACAAUCAUAAGCUCAAAUACUACAUAACCAGUAAUAAAAACAAACUCACAAGAGAGUGGCUUAUUAAUUUGUUUUAUCAAAGUAUUAAAUGUGUAAGUGCUAAAUAUGGUUUUAUUACGCAUGUAUAUAUAUAUAUAUAUAUAUAUAUAUAUAUAUAUAUAUAUAUAAUUUGAGAAAACAUGAAUGGGUUAUAAUCUAUGGAUUGAAAGUGAUCAAAUGACGAAUUAAACCUUUUACUCUAUGUGGACGGGAGGGACAUGAUGUGGUAUUUGUCAUAUAGACAGGGAUAUAUACGUAAAGAAGUCCUAUUUCGACUUCAAGUCCGCCGUCGCUUCCCUCAUCCCCUCUCACACGACAAAUCCCUCAUCCGCUGUUGCCGCCUCUGCUUCGAUGCCGAAUCCUCCCAUCCCUCUGCUUCGCUCUUUUGCGCCGGUCUCCUACGACCACCUCGAUGGCGGAGCAGAUGCGAGGAGGAGGAGGAGGAGUUACUGCCGCCUCGAUGAUGUCCUCUUCUGCCGAUGGCUGCGACUAGAACGACCUCUGGUUCGUCUUCUCUUUUGGCCAUGCGGCAUUGGUGGUUGGAGUAAAGGACUCGCCAGCCAUGGCGGCUAGGCCUACGAUCCUACGUAUGGCCCAUGGGAGUGGACUCCUGUCCGCCCUCUCCAAGUGCAAUCCCGCCAUGGGCAGCAGAGCAGAUCACACUACCUCCCUUAUGUUGGAAGAGGAGGAGGAGGCGUAAAGCACAAACCUGUAAGGCCUGGAAUGUCGGUAGCCAAUUCUCUUAUACUUCAAGUCAGAAAGAGACCACCACCAUUGCCGCCACCUUCUCUUCUACUCUUGGAAGCCAAGCCAGGUUCUUGCUCUUGGGAACACACAGGAACCCCUCUCGAUGGAUUUUUCCUGCAAAGCAACCUCCUGCCUCCUCUCUUGGUUUAUAUUGGAUCGCUAAGCUCCCAUGGUUUAACACAUAGCUUGUAGCUUGAUUCGCAGAUCAAAUUUCUUGCUGAGGUGAAUGGGGAGAACAUUGGGCUUCUUCUCGAUUUUGGUGCUGCUCAUCUUGAUAAUAAGUGCCAGUUCCAGUGAUGACCAGAGAUUCACGACUGACAAGAUUCACUUCUGGUUUAAUGGAGAUGGAGAACAAGAGCAAGAAAGAGCCGGAGGGCUCAGCGACGAAGCAGAUUCGAUUCUGAUGCUGGAAAGGGGAGGGGUGGCGCGCGUCCCUGUGAAUGUCCAUAGCUUUGGUGCAGUUGGCGAUGGUGUAGCAGACGACACCAUGGUACAGCUACAGCUGCCAGUUCUCCACAUUUUUAUUUUAGAUUUCCUUCUUUCAUUAAUAUCUUUCACUUGAAAGUCCAAUCUGAUGAUUACAUAUGGAAAUCUUGGACUUAUAAUAUGUUAGGGAUAGAAUUGAGCCUAUGCCAAGCUUACUCAUAUCUAGCAAUAUUUCUUAGUUUACAUCACUUUUGCGCAUCCUUUUUUGUCAUUAAUGUAAUAUGAUAUUUAGCCUCCUUAUUAGAAGCUCUCACCAAUUCGGGAUCUUUUACUAUCUAAAUUGAUUCUUUAAAUUGUUUAUCCUCUUUUUUCACAUAAAUUUGGCGCAAUUAUUUCUGAUACAUGAUCCAGGUGAACACUGUGAUGGAAAACUGUGAAAAUCCCUUGAAUUUUCUAGAUAUUUGUAGUACAUACACUAGUUUGGAGAUUGAUCUGUAAUGCAAAAUACUAGAUUCUUGUAGAUAUACCUCUGAUAUGAUAUGUCACAGAUCAGCCAAAGUCUGAUAGAUUUGGUCCACCCAGUUUGCAUCUCUAUGUGAUUAUGGUUUUCAUUAUGUUAAAAAUUGGUAGUGACAAUGGUGAUCCCUCUUGAUAGAAAGCUUAGCUCCAUCCUUCGGAAAACCAACUAGGAGGGCCCCCAUACGGCUCCAGUAUCACAUUUAUUUGGUGCUUAUGUUAGUUCUGAUACCUUGUAGCUAAUUUCUUAUUUACAUCCAAAAUGUCUUGUAGGCGUUCCGAAAUGCUUGGUAUAAGGCAUGCUCUUUGAAGAAUGCAGUUCUUCUAGUGCCUGAGCGGCAUCGUUAUAAGGUUAAUGCCACUAACUUCAGAGGGCCCUGUCAACGGCACCUAAUUGUCCAGGUACUAUUUAUGUUUCUUGGCACCUUAUGUAAUGCAUUAUACAGUGCUAUAACAAGUAUGAAUUAACAAGGUCUACAAAUUGUAGGAAUCCUCAAAAACACCUGUGUAUGCUGCUUCUUUCCUUACAAUUAUAGUACAAAUGUAUAAAUACAGCUAUGAAGCUCAAUUGCCUUAAAACAUUCAUGAAUUACAAGGAUACCCUUCCAUUUUGGAAUUGGUCAGGUGAAAGGGACAAUAGUAGCACCGGAUGACCCAAAGGAUUGGGAUCCCAAGUACCCAAGUACGUGGCUAUCUUUCUCAAACCUAAACGGGGUCAGGUUCCAGGGUGGUGGGGUAAUCGAUGGUUCCGGUAGCAAAUGGUGGGCUGCUUCCUGCAAGAUCGAUAGAACCAAUGUAAGAAAUAACUCACAUCUUUUUUUGCCUUUUGUUAGCUAUGCUUUAUGCUCCAAUCUCACAUAUUUUUUUUUCACUUAUAUGCAGCCAUGCAAAGAGGCACCAACGGUAAGAUUCUUAUGCACUGCUUUUUCUAGUGCUAUCAUCUAGAUUGGAUGUUAGGUGGACAUGUGGAACAUUUUCUGUCAUUUUAGCCUUUCUUUUGGUCCAAGGUCUCAUGGAUUGAAAGUUUUUGAGUAGAGACUUGUCAGAUAUUUUGGUCUUUUAAUUUAUAACUUAAUAUGGUACAUAAUGCACUGCUAUCUUUAAGUUAGAUCCCUUCUGGGGAUAUAUCAUUGUUUUACUGAGGCAACCAAGAAUAAGGAGGAUUCCAAAAAUAAACAGCUGGGCAUGGCUAAUUCAUGAUUUCGUUUUUCUAGAAUAGGUGAGAAAAAAUGUUGGGCGUAUCAAUUUUCUGUGUCAUGUUAUGAUCCAAUAUAUGUCGAAAAAUAAGGGGAAAAACAAUUUGAGAUGGAUUGAAUGAAAAACUAUCUAUAUGUAUAUAUCACAUAUCUGAAUAUAUGAAGAUUAGUAGACAUGUGGAUAUAAAUCAGGUGCAUGAUGAUCUUGUCAGUGUUUAGGAUGGAUAUUGUAUAUAGUCGAGUGUAAUGUUAAUUUCAACACUUCCUUCUAAACAAUAAAUUCAAAGAAUAAAAUCCUAUUCUUAAUCAGGUGCUUGUACCAACAAAAGUCUUAAACUUGCAGAUUCUAAUUGGAAAAUUAAUUUCUGAAUGUUACCAAAUAAAAAAAUUUAUCUAGAACCUCCUAAUUUAGCAAUACAAAUUUAUAACAUUAGCACAAGAACCUGUUGGUUACACUGACUUAUGUUUCAGGCACUUACAAUUGAUUCAAGCACCAAGAUAAGAGUGAAAGGCCUCACUAUCCAGUUCGCUCAGCAGAUGCAUUUCGUGAUAUAUCGUUCAGAUGUUGUACGAGUAUCUGGAGUGCGCAUAUUGGCCCCAAAAGAUAGCCCAAACACAGAUGGCAUUCACAUUGGUGAGUCAACCGAUGUUGCCAUCCAGAAUUGCCACAUUGGAACAGGUACAUCUGCUAUCUGAAACUUCUUUAAAUGCUUGUCUGUGAUGAUUGUGUCAUUUCAAAGUAGGAGGCAUGCAUGUGUUAUGCAAGUACAACAAUAAUGGAUAUUAGUUGGAGUUACUCUUUAUUCUUUUUAAAAUCUUUGCAUCUUAGUGUAGAAAAAUUUGAGAUUAACCUGCAUGAUUGUGUAGGAUUAACUGAACAAAUAAAUUCUUGUUUGAAUUUUACAAACAAUGAACAAUUUGUAUCGCUCUUAUGUGUCCUUACGCAUAAGGCAUGACAGCAUCAACUUAAGCUUAAUCUCCCCAGUUGUCAAUGUCUACUGUAUGAACAUUGUUGAACUAAAUGGGAAAUCUAAUUUUGGACAUGAAAAUUUGUCUUUCUUUCCCCAAUUGCAUAUGCCUUUUUUGAUGUAUUUCUUGAUAUUAUAUCUCAGAUCAUGGCUAUAAGUGAAAACACUUUAACAAUAAAGAAGUCAUUUUUGUUGAUUAAACAGGGGAUGAUUGUGUUUCAAUUGUGAAUGCUAGUUCAAAUAUCAAGAUGAAGAAAAUUAUGUGUGGGCCAGGGCAUGGAAUCAGGUACCACCUAGUAUUGUGUUCGAAUUGUCUUGAAAAAACCUUGAAUGAAGAUUGACCUGCUGAUUAAGAGUGAUGAUGUGAUUUCUCUCUGUGGUAAUUUGGAUGGUUAGUAUAGGGAGCCUAGGAAAGGAUAAGUCAACAGGCAUUGUUACAGGUGUUGUCUUGGACACUGCAACAAUCUCUGGCACUAAAAAUGGUUUAAGAAUCAAAACCUGGCAAGUAAGUAUCCUGCAGUCAUAUGCUUGAUAUCUUAUAUGGCUUUGGUCUAUGGAGAAAAGAAAUGUCUUGCCUCAUACUAUCUACAUGGAUGAUUGCCUAAAGUCUCAAAUUGCUGAACAGGGUGGAUCAGGAUAUGUUAAGUCAGUGCGCUUUGAGAAUGUGAAGAUGAAUGAUGUUGAGAACCCGAUCAUCAUAGACCAGUUUUACUGUGAUUCCCCAGCCACUUGCAAGAACCAAGUAAGGUCACUUAAGCUUAAUUCCUUUGUUCACAUAAUAAAAAUGGUAUAAAGAUAAAAACAUUGAUGUUUAAUGACAUACCUGUCUUCCUGUGCUUUCUGCUUCAGUUCUCCAACCGAAGUUCAAAUUUUCUAGCAGUUGUACCUUGCCAUAUAAUCUGGAACUAUAUCUGUAACAACUAAGAUCUAACUGCAAGUAAUGCUAGUAAACAUGAUUAGAAUGCUUGGUUUCAAAUUUGUAAUUUUCCAUUACAAAUAGUCAUCCAAUUAUGUUAUAGAUGUAUCUACACGGCAUACAAAACUUUUGGUUUAGUGAUAUGGUCAAUUUUGGUGAUCAAUCCAACUCGGUGAAAUUUAUUCUGACCCAACUUGUUUUUCGAGUUGUUGUAUCAUGGCUCAAGGAAAAUUGGACCAUUUGUAUCAUGUAUGACAUAUCUGCACCAAGGGUGCAUUCAACUAAACUUCUUCGAUGUUCGAGGUAGUGUGUGUUUGUUCGUUUCAAACAUCAAAAACCCAUAAGGAGUUCAUAAUUCAUCUACUCAUUUUGAAGAAAAAACCUUUAAAAAGAUUAUUUUGUAUAGUGUCUGUUUUUCCACUGUCAUGGCAAUUUAGUAUUAUGUUGAUAUAACAUGUCCACUGGAUUCUUUGUCAUCUUUGAAAGUUGACAUGACAUGUCCAGCAGACAUUGACUGGAACUCUAUGUGCCGAGUCCUGAUUUAUCGAAAAUAAUGAGGAUAUCACAACCUGGUUGUCUUGGUAAUCCCUAACUUGCCUUUGUAGUGUUGAUAAACCAAUUCGAUUAGUAAGAGUUUCAAGUAGUAACAUCCUUAUCAUGGAAUAGAUUUUGUUUCUCUUAGUCAAAGAUUUGUGAAAAAUUCAACAAGAAUAUCUAGUAGAGAUGAUUACUUUGUUGAAAAUGUCCUAGAAAUUUGCUACCUUCUUGAAAUUGUUAAUAUCACUAGCAAGCUGUUUUUCUUUUCCUCUUUCUUUUCAGACAUCAGCAGUGAAGAUAAGCCAAGUCAUCUUCAGGAAUAUAAAUGGCACCUCAAGAACUCCUCACGCAAUGAAAUUUGCAUGCAGUGACACUGUACCAUGCAGCAACAUUGUCCUGAACAACAUUAACCUCGAGACGGAAAACGGCACAGCUAAAACCUUCUGCAAUUGCGCCAUGGGAUUCCACUACGGAAUUGUGCAGCCUACGGCGGAUUGCCUCAAGUCCUCCAGCUGUGGCGGAAUCCAGGAAGAUGCCCAAAGGCAAACUCAUGAUCCUACCCACACAGAGCUAUGAUUCCUCUCCUCAAAGAAGCCAUCACAAACAAGUGAUGGCAAAGUGCCAGAAGAUAAGGCUAGUGCUGCUGGGGUUAUUGAAGAUGUGUUCAUGUCUACUUUUUAAAGAUGGAUAAUUUACUUGGGUGGCUAAACUUGAAUUGUUGAAAGUGAAUACUAUGUAGCUUUGUACCUAUAGAACACUAAAAAAUAUUCUUUAUGAUCUUACAAUAAUCAAUUUCUCUUGCUUUCAAAUUGAAAGUUGAUAAAAAAAAAAAUCUAUGUAUAAUGUUGAUGACAGGAUGGAUACCAACAAGAAUGAAGCUUGAUUUUUUAUUUGUAAUGGUUCGAUAACAAGGACGAGAUGAGAUUUGAUUCCCUGAUAUGAUAAUAGUUAUAGUACCAUCAAAGUUAUUUUUUAUUUCUAAUCUUGUUCUAAUAUGAUAACCUAUUUGAUUAAGAUAAACUAUAAAAUUUUGAUUGCAUAGUAAGGUAACGUCACAACUCUGAAUCUUCAAAUAACACCGACUCAGUUUACAUGUAAUGAUCACAGUUGGCGACAUUCUUUAAUGCAUCACAACAGAUCAUAUCAUCCUAAAUACGUCCACAUCUAUUGUUCAACGCGAUGAUUAAACAUCCAAAUUAUUGUCUUAUUCGACGAAAUAUUAGCGUGUGAUUCCAGAAAUAUCUCCUCGCCCACUUGUCGAAUUGUGGCCCAGAAGAAGACAUCUGUGGUGGACACAGUCAACACUGCACAGUCAUCAUCCCAUCAGCCACGUUUAGUUCCUUAACAUAAGCGUCAGAACAUGAUUCCUACGAGACGGCAAGUCUUGCAGCUUACAUUACCUGCACUUGUGCGGUUGUCGUAGAGCUUUCGGCAUGGGCUGCGCUCCGACGAGCGCAGGCCCACCACCUGUCCGCAAACCUUCAGCUGCAAACCACGAGAAAAUCGUCGUCCCAACCCACCAAUCGAUCACGUAUUGACUCAUCUCUGAGUCGGAGGUUGAAGGCAGAGAAAGCAAUGGCGUGAACGUCUUCAACCUCUGCGCCUGCGUUAAGCAAAUCGCACGUGUACAGCUCUCGUGACGUGACGAAGCCGUGCAGCCGCUGUUUCUUCUGGUGCUUUCGCAAGGUAGGGCGCUACAAAAAUCUGCCGGGGAACACGGCCACGCGUCGCCAGAUGUGCGGCAGCGGCUGGAGCUCCCUCGGCGCGGGUAGGGAAUAUAAAGCGGUCCCCCGGGCUUCCCACCUUCCCUCCCGUCCAUGAGAGCGCAUCGAGCGUGUUGGUCUGGUGCAAAGAGUGCUCUUCCAUCAAGAAGAAGCAGUCCUCGGCUUUAAGAUGACGGUGACUCCCGGGAUCACGAUCAGCGACGGGAAUCUGGUGGUCUAUGGGAAGACCAUCCUUACCGACGUCCCGGACAACAUCGUCCUCACUAGCGGCACCGGCGCCGGCCUCAUGGCUGGGGCCUUCAUCGGCGCCGCCGCCUCCGACAGCAAGAGCCUCCACGUCUUCCCCAUGGGCACCCUCCGGUAAGUCCCCGCUCCUCGGUUACGCCUUUGUGUGUAUUGUGAUCGGUCGGAGAUUAACGGCCGGCGUGGUGCGUCGACCGCCAGGGGGCUACGGUUCAUGUGCUGCUUCCGUUUCAAGUUGUGGUGGAUGACGCAGAGGAUGGGAACGUGCGGGCGGGACGUGCCGCUGGAGACGCAGUUCCUGCUGGUGGAGGGCAAGGAGGCGGAGGCGUCCACCGUCUACACCGUCUUCCUCCCGCUCCUGGACGGCCCGUUCCGUGCCGUCUUGCAGGGCAACGACAAGGACGAGAUCGAGAUAUGCCUGGAGAGCGGUAAGCAAACAAUCAAGAGACCGGCCAACUGUAGAAAGUGCAGAUGCGGCGUUUGAUGUUAUUGCUGGCUCGUUUCCUGGUGCAGGAGACGAGGCGGUCGAAACAAAGCAGGGGAUGCACAUGGUCUACAUGCACGCCGGCGCCAAUCCCUUCGAGGUCAUCAGCCAGGCGGUGAAGUACGUCGCACCUGUUAACUUCGUAGCUCAAUAGGCUUCCUGAUUCCUUUCUACUAACCAAUUCGCUGUGGUAAAUCCGCCGAACAGGGCGGUGGAGAAGCACCUGCAGACGUUCCACCACCGCGAGAAGAAAAAGGUAAACACCCUCGUUCACGUGACGGGAACCCUCUCUCGCGCGCUGUCUAUGUCCGGAGAUUUCUGCAAGCUUCUUCGCACUGAUAGAUGACGGUGAUUGACGCAGUUGCCUUCCUUCGUGGACUGGUUCGGGUGGUGCACGUGGGACGCCUUCUACACAGACGUCACCGCCGAGGGUGUGGACCAAGGCUUGCGAAGGUGAAGACCUCUCUUUCUCCGCCGUAACUGCGGUGGCUCGUGAGAGCAUCCGUCGAUAACCUCUCGUCCCCCGUGAUUUCGCAGCUUGUCCGCGGGCGGUGCUCCGCCGCGUUUCCUCAUCGUAGACGACGGGUGGCAGCAGAUCGGCAGCGAGGUCAGGGAUCAGACGGCUGCCGUUGUCCAGGAAGGAGCACAGUACGCAUCACGACCCUCAGUCCUCCUCGUUCGCGAUGACCCCCGCGAGUGGUCCCUUCUUCCCGUCUCGUCAAGCUGCUUUGUGACUGGCAGCAGCGGCGGCGCCGCCAAUCACAAGGCAGAUGAGCGAGACGAGGAAGGCCAUGAAUUGAACUCUUGGUAGGAUCUCCGUUUGGUGGUGGCGUGUUUAAUGUGCGGUACUGUUGACCAGGUUCGCCAGCAGGCUGACGGGGAUAAAGGAGAACGCCAAAUUCCAACGCAAGCAGGGCGAGGGCGAGCGGCGCAGUGGGCUUAAGCAGGUAGUGGAGGAGGUCAAGAAACGCCGCGACGUGAAGUGAGUCUUAUACGCUCAAACAAGUUGUUAAGAUAAACUAGUCAGUAUUAAUAUAUAUUAACUCAAAAUUAUUGAUAGAUUAUAAGUUAGACUAUAUAUAUAUAUAUAAUUCUAUUUUUUAGAUAUUUAUUGAUGAUUAUUUUUCUUCAAUCUCUUUUCACACUUUAAUAUCUUUUAAUAUAUUUUUUAUUAAUGUAUGAUUAAAUUAUCUCUCUCUUGCUCGUAAAAAUAGAUGGUGUGAUCAAUUUUAUUCGCUUGACUCUUAUUUUCAACCUCAUGUUAGUUUAAAUUUUUCUUUAAUAUUAAAUUUAUAGGACUAAUAUAUUAAGUUUGAUAAAAAGGAGAAAGGAGACAUAUAAUUAUAUAACUAUAUAUAUUUAAUUUAAAAUUAUAAUAUAAAAUUUCAAUAAUUAUAAUUAUAUAUAUAAUUUAAUUAUAUAUGUAAUUAAGUUUUCUUUCAUAAUAAAAUAAUUAUUUUACAAUUUUAAUUAAUACUUAUUAUUUUUCUAAAUAUCUCUAAUGUUUUUUAAAAUAUUAAUAUAUUAAAAAAAUUCUCUAUGCAUGUGUGACUUAAUUGUAAGACGAGCGAAUGACUGUUCUGAUCCGAGCAAGCUGUUGUUGCAGGUUUGUGUACGUGUGGCACGCAAUGGCCGGAUACUGGGGCGGGGUGAAGCCGGCGGUGCAGGGGAUGGAGCACUACGAGAGCGCGCUGGCGUACCCGGUGCAGUCGCCGGGGGUGAUGGGCAACCAGCCGGACAUUGUCAUGGACAGCCUCUCCAUCCAUGGCCUCGGCCUCGUCCACCCCAAGAAGGUGUACAGCUUCUACAACGAGCUGCACGCCUACUUGGCCGCUUGCGGCAUCGACGGCGUUAAGGUGGACGUGCAGAACAUCAUCGAGACGCUGGGCGCUGGCCACGGCGGCCGCGUCUCCCUCACCCGCGCCUACCACCAGGCCCUCGAGGCCUCCGUCACCCGCAACUUCCCCGACAACGGCUGCAUCUCCUGCAUGUGCCAUAACACCGACGGCCUCUACAGGCAAUGAAGCCUCACCCUCUCCUCCUCUCCAUCGACGAUUCAUGCUUUGCAUACUAAUCUGAUGGUUUGACUGCGUCGGUGCAGCGCGAAGCAGACGGCGGUGGUGAGGGCGUCGGACGACUUCUACCCGAGAGACCCGGCGUCGCACACCAUCCACAUCUCCUCUGUGGCCUACAACACCCUGUUCCUGGGGGAGUUCAUGCUGCCGGACUGGGAUAUGUUCCAUGUAAGUGAGCACUCAUUUCUCCCCUGAAUCAAAUCCUUACUUGAGCAACACAAGUUUGAUAUGGCAACCUCCUCCUCUGAGCAGAGUCUCCAUCCAGCAGCAGAGUACCACGCUGCUGCUCGAGCAAUUGGUGGCUGUCCCAUCUACGUUAGGUGGGCGACCGCGUUCACAGCUAAGUGGAACCUCACCGUACGAUCCUUUCUUCUAAGCUUUGCUUGCACGUUGGCGCAGUGACAAACCGGGCCACCAUAACUUCGAGCUACUGCGUAAGCUAGUGCUGCCGGACGGCUCCAUCCUGCGCGCGCAGCUCCCGGGUCGCCCGACGCGCGACUGCCUCUUCUGCGACCCAGCUCGUGACGGCACCAGGUCGCCCAUCGUCUGCCUUCCUUUACUCUGCGUUGUGAUGGCGAGUUAUAGAGCUAAGCCUCGUGAUCCAUGUCGUCCUUUCAGCUUGCUCAAGAUAUGGAACGUCAAUAAGUGCUCCGGCGUGGUGGGGGUCUUCAACUGCCAAGGCGCCGGCUGGUGCAGGCAUACCAAGAAGACUCGCGUGCACGACGCCGCCCUGGGUACACUCACGGGCACAGUCAUUGCCACCGACGUCGACGCCAUCGCCCAACUCGCCGGCCCGGAUUGGGGCGGCCAAGCUGUCAUCUAUGCCUUCAAAUCAGGUUUAAUUACAUAACUUGUUGAUCGCUCUCUUCACCUGAUACGUCGUCAUAGAUAUGCUCAUCAUAAUCUCUCUUCAGGAGAGCUGAUUCGGCUACCCAAGGGAGCAACGCUGCCGGUGACUCUCAAAGUUCUCGAGUACGAGGUCUUCCAUGUCUGCCCUGUCAAGGUAUAUAACUACUUUUCCUGACAAUUCCUCGUUAGAUCGGUGCAGUGAAGGAGAUCCAACUGUGUACAUAUAUGCGCAGAACAUCACCCCGAGCAUAUCAUUUGCGCCGAUUGGCCUGCUAGAUAUGUUCAACACCGGCGGCGCGGUGGAGCAAUUCGACGUGAGCGUGACGUCAAACCACGCCGCCGCUGGACAAGACGACGGCCACGUCCCCAGCGAUCCGACGGCCACCCUGAGCACGGCCACUGUGGCACUUCGGGUGAGCGGCCGCGGGCGUUUCGGGGCGUACUCGUCACAGCGGCCACUCAGAUGCACGCUCGAUUCGUCGGACGUGGAGUUCAGCUACGACGAGGGGACUGGGCUUGUGACCAUCAACUUCCCGGUGCCGGAGAAGGAGAUGUACAAGUGGAGUCUGCAGAUCCAAGUUUAGAGGCAAAGCAGGAAGAUUUGAGGGUUGGGGAGUUGAAAUGUGAUGAUGCGUAGAUGACUACUAAUGAGGUGAUUUGAGGUGGAUGCAGCAACGUUCUAAUAAACAGCUAUCAUCGCACGAAACGAGCUCUCUGCCAUUGCUGACACAUUUGAAGCUUCUUCUUCUCAAUCAAAUGAUAUUAUGCUGAGAAGUUGACCUGUUGCUUUCAAACCGAUUGCCUGAGAUCUAAUCUACAGACAUUAAGAUCUGUGCGACAAAUAAAACAACAAACAGGAUUACAAGCAUCUUGAAUUCACUUCCAACUGACAGAAAAAUAACUUCUUUAUACUUAAAUUCAUUUGCUUUAAUUGCAUUAUAGAAAUAUUAAGUCAUGCCUUUGUCAUUUGUUUUAAUAAUUGAGGAAUUGCAUGACAAAAGCCCAGAAGAUCUACAAAUAGUAACUCUAUUGAAGUGCUAAUCCCAUAGAGCUAGGUUGAUUGAAGUCNNNNNNNNNNNNNNNNNNNNUAUAUAUAUAUAUAUAUAUAUAUAUAUAUAUAUAUAUAUAUAUAUAUAUAUAUAUAUAUAUAUAUAUAUAUAUAUAUAUAUAUAUAUAUAUAUAUAUAUAUAUAUGUUUGCGUAAACAAAUUUGGAGCCGUGGCCUCGGGGCCAACGCGGCUCGGUUCGGGUCCGGAUGGCGGGAUCUUCCCGGUGCGGCCCUCGGGUUCGCCAAGGUAGUCGGCUACGGCGGUUCGAUCGGGACGGCGUCAACCGUCUCCACCGGAGGGGGCUCCUCAGUUGGGCACGAGCCUCCCGACCCGACCCCUCCGACGAUCAAGUCAGUAGAUGGUGGAGGGGGUAGAAAGGAGAAGAGUUUGAGGUGUCUCCCUAGUGUGUUCUUUUCCUCCUCUCCCCCCUUGCUCGUUCAUAGCGCGAGGGUAUUUAUAGGGAAGCUUUUGUUGUUUGAUGUACCCGCUUGCAGGGGGUAGGCUGGUUGCGUCUGACAUUGGUUUGGCGUGGCGUGAAGAGCCGAGCUUGAGUGGGCGUUAAUGCGCCUCGGGCUGUGUUUCGGUUUGCUUGACCGGGUGUCGUCGCGUCGUCCGAGGCAUUAGGCAUCAUCUGACGUCAGCCAGGUCUUAUCAUAAUUACUACCCUCAUCAUAUUCCCCCCCGGAAAGAAGCUAUGCGUCGGUCGUUGUAACGAGAGUUCGAGGCAUGGCUUCAGCUUUCAGACGGGCUGGCCGUGCAGGCAUGGUCUCAGGGGCAUGAAGCCGAGGGGCACGACGCAGGCGGGCUAGCCGCGCAGGUGUGUCUCGGGGGCAUAGAGCCGAGGAGCAUGACGCAGGCGGGCCAGCCGCGCAGGUGUGUCUCGGGGCAUGGAGCCGAGGAGCACAACGUAGGCGGGCAGGCCGCGCAGGUGUGGUCUCGGGCAGCAAGGGGCCGAGGGGCACGACGCAGGCGGGCUGGGCGCACAGGUGUGUCUCAGGGCAUGGAGCCGAGGAGCACGACGCAGGUGGGUUGGUCGCGCAGGUGUGUCUCGGGGGCAUGAAGCUGAGGAGCACGACGCAAGCGGGCUGGCCACGCAGGUGUGUCUCGGGGGCAUGAAGCCGAGGAGCAUGACGUAGGCGGGCUGGUCGCGCAGGUGUGUCUCGANNNNNNNNNNNNNNNNNNNNNNNNNNNNNNNNNNNNNNNNNNNNNNNNNNNNNNNNNNNNNNNNNNNNNNNNNNNNNNNNNNNNNNNNNNNNNNNNNNNNNNNNNNNNNNNNNNNNNNNNNNNNNNNNNNNNNNNNNNNNNNNNNNNNNNNNNNNNNNNNNNNNNNNNNNNNNNNNNNNNNNNNNNNNNNNNNNNNNNNNNNNNNNNNNNNNNNNNNNNNNNNNNNNNNNNNNNNNNNNNNNNNNNNNNNNNNNNNNNNNNNNNNNNNNNNNNNNNNNNNNNNNNNNNNNNNNNNNNNNNNNNNNNNNNNNNNNNNNNNNNNNNNNNNNNNNNNNNNNNNNNNNNNNNNNNNNNNNNNNNNNNNNNNNNNNNNNNNNNNNNNNNNNNNNNNNNNNNNNNNNNNNNNNNNNNNNNNNNNNNNNNNNNNNNNNNNNNNNNNNNNNNNNNNNNNNNNNNNNNNNNNNNNNNNNNNNNNNNNNNNNNNNNNNNNNNNNNNNNNNNNNNNNNNNNNNNNNNNNNNNNNNNNNNNNNNNNNNNNNNNNNNNNNNNNNNNNNNNNNNNNNNNNNNNNNNNNNNNNNNNNNNNNNNNNNNNNNNNNNNNNNNNNNNNNNNNNNNNNNNNNNNNNNNNNNNNNNNNNNNNNNNNNNNNNNNNNNNNNNNNNNNNNNNNNNNNNNNNNNNNNNNNNNNNNNNNNNNNNNNNNNNNNNNNNNNNNNNNNNNNNNNNNNNNNNNNNNNNNNNNNNNNNNNNNNNNNNNNNNNNNNNNNNNNNNNNNNNNNNNNNNNNNNNNNNNNNNNNNNNNNNNNNNNNNNNNNNNNNNNNNNNNNNNNNNNNNNNNNNNNNNNNNNNNNNNNNNNNNNNNNNNNNNNNNNNNNNNNNNNNNNNNNNNNNNNNNNNNNNNNNNNNNNNNNNNNNNNNNNNNNNNNNNNNNNNNNNNNNNNNNNNNNNNNNNNNNNNNNNNNNNNNNNNNNNNNNNNNNNNNNNNNNNNNNNNNNNNNNNNNNNNNNNNNNNNNNNNNNNNNNNNNNNNNNNNNNNNNNNNNNNNNNNNNNNNNNNNNNNNNNNNNNNNNNNNNNNNNNNNNNNNNNNNNNNNNNNNNNNNNNNNNNNNNNNNNNNNNNNNNNNNNNNNNNNNNNNNNNNNNNNNNNNNNNNNNNNNNNNNNNNNNNNNNNNNNNNNNNNNNNNNNNNNNNNNNNNNNNNNNNNNNNNNNNNNNNNNNNNNNNNNNNNNNNNNNNNNNNNNNNNNNNNNNNNNNNNNNNNNNNNNNNNNNNNNNNNNNNNNNNNNNNNNNNNNNNNNNNNNNNNNNNNNNNNNNNNNNNNNNNNNNNNNNNNNNNNNNNNNNNNNNNNNNNNNNNNNNNNNNNNNNNNNNNNNNNNNNNNNNNNNNNNNNNNNNNNNNNNNNNNNNNNNNNNNNNNNNNNNNNNNNNNNNNNNNNNNNNNNNNNNNNNNNNNNNNNNNNNNNNNNNNNNNNNNNNNNNNNNNNNNNNNNNNNNNNNNNNNNNNNNNNNNNNNNNNNNNNNNNNNNNNNNNNNNNNNNNNNNNNNNNNNNNNNNNNNNNNNNNNNNNNNNNNNNNNNNNNNNNNNNNNNNNNNNNNNNNNNNNNNNNNNNNNNNNNNNNNNNNNNNNNNNNNNNNNNNNNNNNNNNNNNNNNNNNNNNNNNNNNNNNNNNNNNNNNNNNNNNNNNNNNNNNNNNNNNNNNNNNNNNNNNNNNNNNNNNNNNNNNNNNNNNNNNNNNNNNNNNNNNNNNNNNNNNNNNNNNNNNNNNNNNNNNNNNNNNNNNNNNNNNNNNNNNNNNNNNNNNNNNNNNNNNNNNNNNNNNNNNNNNNNNNNNNNNNNNNNNNNNNNNNNNNNNNNNNNNNNNNNNNNNNNNNNNNNNNNNNNNNNNNNNNNNNNNNNNNNNNNNNNNNNNNNNNNNNNNNNNNNNNNNNNNNNNNNNNNNNNNNNNNNNNNNNNNNNNNNNNNNNNNNNNNNNNNNNNNNNNNNNNNNNNNNNNNNNNNNNNNNNNNNNNNNNNNNNNNNNNNNNNNNNNNNNNNNNNNNNNNNNNNNNNNNNNNNNNNNNNNNNNNNNNNNNNNNNNNNNNNNNNNNNNNNNNNNNNNNNNNNNNNNNNNNNNNNNNNNNNNNNNNNNNNNNNNNNNNNNNNNNNNNNNNNNNNNNNNNNNNNNNNNNNNNNNNNNNNNNNNNNNNNNNNNNNNNNNNNNNNNNNNNNNNNNNNNNNNNNNNNNNNNNNNNNNNNNNNNNNNNNNNNNNNNNNNNNNNNNNNNNNNNNNNNNNNNNNNNNNNNNNNNNNNNNNNNNNNNNNNNNNNNNNNNNNNNNNNNNNNNNNNNNNNNNNNNNNNNNNNNNNNNNNNNNNNNNNNNNNNNNNNNNNNNNNNNNNNNNNNNNNNNNNNNNNNNNNNNNNNNNNNNNNNNNNNNNNNNNNNNNNNNNNNNNNNNNNGCAUGACGUAGGCGGGCUGGUCGCGCAGGUGUGUCUCGAGGGCAUGAUUCGAGGAGCACGACGCAGGCGGGCAGGCCGCGCAGGUGUGGUCUCAGACAUCAUGUGGCCGAGUAGCACGACGCAGGCAGGCAAGUCGCGCAGGUGUGAUCUCGGGCCGAGGGGCAUGACUCAAUCGGGCAGGCCGCGCUGAGGUGGGCUCGGCAGUCUAUGGCCUAGGAGCUCGGCGCAAGCGGGCUGCAACCGAGGGACAGGGCUCAAGCGGGCAGGCCGCGCUAAGGUGGACUCGGCAGUCAAUGGCUAAGAGAUGCAACUCAGGUGGGCAAGGCGCCCUGAGAUGGACUCGGCAGUCUAUAGCCGAGGAGCUCGGCGCAGGCGAGCUGCAGGCGAGGGAUACGGCUCACGUGGGCAGGCCGCGCUGAGGUGGGCUCGGUAGUCUAUGGCCGAGAGAUGCAACUCAAGUGGGCAAGCCGCCCUGAGAUGGACUCGGCAGUCUAUGGCCGAGGAGCUCGGCGCAGGCGGGCUACAGCCGAGUGACACGGCUCAGGCGGGCAGGCCGUGCUGAGGUGGGCUCGGCAGUCUAUGACCGAGGAGAUUUUAAGCCGAGCCGAGAGGGGGUCAGGUAGACACUGAACCUUGGCUCGAAAGAGGCCGAGGCAGAGCUUAGAUUUCUUUUCACGAGGACUACAUCGGGUAGCCACCGCGGGUGCUUGACCUCUCUUAUGGAGCCCGCGGUCGAGAGCCGUUGCUUCUCCUCACGGUCGCCCAGGCCUCCGCGGCGAUGUACCAGUUAGCGCGUUGGAGCAUCUCUGGCACCGUGGUGGGAGGUUGCUCCGCGAGGGACAAGAGGAGUCUGGAAGGUCGCAGGCCUAUCAUAAACGCCUGCACUAACAGAGAGGGGUGAGUGUCCGGCAGGCCCCGGAUUUGCGUGGUAAAGCGAUCCACAAAAUGAGAGAGGGGCUCGUCCUCCCUUUGUUUGAGUCCGAGGAGUAGUGCCGCGGAAGGCUUCGGCCGUGCAUAGGCCACGAAGUAGAGCUUGAAGUCCUUGACGAGCUGGUCGAAGGAAGUGAUCGUUCUGGUCUUUAAGGUGUCAUACCACGUGUGGGUCAGCCCUCUCAGAGUAGUAGGGAACGCUCUGCACAUCAAGGCAUCAGAGGUUCCGCAUAGCGCCAUUUGGGCGCGAAAAGCAGCUACAUGGUCCGCCGGGUCGGUGGAGCCAUGGUAAGCAUCCAGAGAGGGGAGCUGGAAGUCCAGGGGGACUGUCUGAUCCCGUAUCUCAGGCAUGAAGGGAGACCCUUGGUGUGCUUCCACCUUGAGCUCUCCCUUGGACCUGCGAACCUCUUCCUGCACCUCGUCGAGUCGCUGACUGACGAAGCGCAACUGGGCCCGUAGGGAGUCCAAAGAGAGUGCCUCGGGUUUCGGGCGGCCGCUCGGGUUUGCCAUCACUGGAUCCCCGAGUGGGGUCGGUCGGACCUGAGGUGAAGUGGGGGGCUCCGGAAGUGUUGUGUGGGCCCGAACGGGCGGCUCGUAUUGUCGCAACGGUUGGGCUGCAAGCGGGUGUGCCGGAUGAGGAACGAGCGGGAUGAUGGUUUGCACCAUAUCCAUCAGAGCUCGAACUUGACGGGCGAGGUCCUGGAAGGCCUCGGGUGACACGGGCGUCGAGUUGGCGAGGGCGCCAUCGGGCAGCGACAAACCCGGGUCGUUGAACAUUUGCCAGUAUCGUUCGGAGGUCGUGGCGGGGUGUUCGUCACGAUGGCCUCCGUGCGAGGGAUGUUCCCCUAAGGCUCCAGUCGGGUGCGACCUGUCAGCUGUCCGAGCCGCUCGGGUGAUCACCCGACAUUCUGGGCAUUCCUUCUAGCGCCAAAAUGUUUGCGUAAACAAACUUGGAGCCGUGGCCUCGGGGUCGACGCGACUCGGUUCGGAUCCGGAUGGCGGGAUCUUCCCGGUGCGGCCCUCGGGUUCGCCGAGGUAAUCGGCUACGGUGGUCCGAUUGGGACGAGGUCAUCCGUCUCCGCCGGAGGGUGCUCCUCAGCUGGGCACGCGCCCCGUUUGUAGUCCUGCACACAGGUCGGGUCGGGAGGCUCGACCCGACCCCUCCGACGAUCAACUCAGUAGAUGGUGGAGGGGGUAAAAAGGAGAAGAGUUUGAUGUGUCUCCCUGGUGUGUUCUUUUCCUCCUCUCCCCCCUCGCUCGUUCAGAGCGCGAGGGUAUUUAUAGGGAAGCUUGCUGUUGUUUGAUGUGCCCGCUUGUAGGGGGCAGGCUGGUUGCGUUUGACAUUAGUUUGGCGUGGCGUGAAGAGCCGAGCUUGAGUGGGCGUUAAUACGCCUCGGGUUGUGUUCCGGUCUGCUUGGUCGGGUAUCGUCGCGUCGUCUGAGGCGUGAGGCGUCAUCUGACGUCAGCCAAGUCUUAUCAUAAUUACUAUCCUCAUCAAUAUAUAUAUAUAUAUAUAUAUAUAUAUAUAUUGCACUAUUACGGUCAUGUCAUGCUAAUGUGGUACACAUCUGGGGUGAGAAAGGUCUAUGAUAAGUAAACUGGAUACGGCUUAUUUAUGAUGCUAUCUAAAAUGAGACACUAAAUGAUUGCUACAUAGUGUUUGGACUUAUUAAUUGUCCAUUACUCCUUGUAUGCUCAUAAUGGAUAGGAUGAGAAAAUUGGGAAGUGAAUACUGCCGUACGGUGAAUUGAUUCAUAUUUAGAAUAAAAUAAAUAAUACUUGUUGAGUGUACGUAUGAAUGUGGGGCCACCGCAUCGUAAUCCCAUCACACCAAGCUCGAAUCUCGACGCAAGCGACGGUCUUCUUUUCAAAUCUGAUUCGAACACCAAUAGCCUCGUCAUUCGUGCCACAGUUGAUACCUGCUCUGAUUCUUUACUGCUGACUCAGUCCCUUCACCGGGCUGCACACCCGAUUCGAAUAGCCGAAUGCCCAUAAGCUCAUCAGGGCCGUCCAUUUAAUCCAUCGCCGAUCGAAUCCUCCCGUGACAUAGGAUUCCCGUCACCGCCGAGUGACAAGGUCCGUUCACCUCUCUUGCUGUUCUUCGCACGUGAGUACAGUGGAAAGAUUUCGAAUCCAACGCGUCCUCCCACGCGUGGGGCGUACGCACGAGUAUGGGCAUUUUGGGAUGUCCACCAUGUGGUGAGCGCGUAUGCUACGCUGUAAGAACUGCCAAAAGAAGAAAAUAGUAUGACAGUCACACCCUCGAAGUUACUCGAGUCGCUUGCGAGUCGUUGAUUGGCGAAGAUGGUAGUAUGGAUGCGGGACCCACCUGAUGGACCCGAAAGCCGUAUGUAAAGGAAGUAUCCUGUGGCGCCACGAAACGUCGGUGAUUGCGGUCAAUCCGCUUCCAUCAUAUAUAACGUCCGACAUGUCUUGUUUCGUUUCGAGAUGCAUGUAAUACGAAGACAAAUCAGUGGUAUAUAACGGAGAUAGGUAUGUUUUAUUCUUUAUAACGUAUCGCAGGAGAUAUCGGCUUGUGACACGUUACAUCCAUGCAUCACACUUUACCCAUUCUGCCCCUCCAACGGAUACAUCCACGGAGGAGACGAAGUGAGCGAGGUGAUGCAGAGAGGGAUCGGACGAUAGAGAAAGGAGAGGAGAGAGAAGAAGAGUGUGGGUUCCUUUCGGGAGAGAGAGAAACAGGCGGAGGAGGAGGAGCGAUAGAAGCAGAUGGCGGCUCACGUUAGCGUGUGCCGCGGCCUGGUGGUGGUGCUGGCGCUUGUUGCCUGGUUAUCGUGCGCCGCCGCGGAGGGAGGGGGCGGCGACAGGGCGGUGAGGCAGCGCCUGGAGGUGCGACGGCACCUGAAGCGGCUCAACAAGAAGCCGGUCAAGAGUAUCAGGGUCUCUUUCUCGAUUUAACGCCACAUAAUGCUUCCUUCUCGCUGGAUUUUGCUUUCUGGUGUUCGGUGUGGUGACAAAUGAAACAUCAUUUUCUUUCGUCCUUUCAGUAAAAGAUUGCUUCUUCUCCACGGAAACCUUGUCGAUAGAAGUAUUCGGCUUGUUUCCGCAUAAUGCUGCGGUUGUUCCUAUUCUUUUUGUUUUGCCGAUUUCAGGAUUGCUGUAUUAUUGUGUCGAUCUCUCAUCUUCGUUGUAGCAUGAUGAUGAACUGGGCCAAAAUGUUUCAAUUUCGUUCUUCAAUAGCUAAAAGAGGAUUCUUUUUCUUCUAUUGCUUUAAGAAAUUCAAGAUUUUGUGUAGAUGUUACAUGAUGCAGCUUUCUUCGCCUCAUCAGAAGGACAUGCCAUCAAGUUUUUACCUUGCAUAAAAUAAAGUUCUCUUUCCAUCAAAAGUUUAGAUUUUUACCUCCUUUUUUCCAUCUAAAGAUUCUUUGGAAUCGUUUAUUCUACUUCAAUCAUUCAAUUUCUUCCUCUUUUGAUGUUUGGGGGGAAAAUCACAUAAAUAUGCAGAGUCCAGAUGGAGAUAUCAUCGAUUGUGUGCAUGUCUCUCACCAGCCUGCCUUUGAUCACCCUUUCCUCAAAAACCACUCAAUCCAGGUUCAUCUCUUUCUUCCUCCUCACUUUGUUCACUUCUUUUCAGAUUCUCCACUUUUCUUGCUGUAUUUUAUCAAGCCCUUUUUGCUGAUGUUUCCAGAUGCGGCCAACCUACCACCCGGAAGGCUUGUUUGAUGAGAACAAGCUUGCAUCACAGGAGAAGAAGACCCCCUCCACAGCUCAACUAUGGCAUCAGAACGGGAGGUGCCCUGAGGACACCAUCCCCAUCAGGAGGACAACCAGGGAUGAUGUGUUAAGGGCCAGCUCCGUCAAAAGAUAUGGGAGGAAGAAGCACAGGAGCAUCCCAUGCCCCUUGUCUGUUGACCCUGACCUUCUCAAUGAGAGUGGCCAUCAGGUAUGGUGCAGAAAAGCAACAAAGAAACCAUACUUUGGAGCAAAAGUUGCAUCUUUUCUAGACUUGCUUUUGGUUCCUGGCUCAUGGCUUUUGUUUCUUUUGGGUGUUUCUUGAGUAGCAUGCGAUUGCUUAUGUAGAGGGAGAUAGAUAUUAUGGAGCAAAGGCCACCAUAAAUGUGUGGCGGCCAAAGAUCCAACAACCCAAUGAGUUCAGUCUCUCUCAGCUCUGGAUAUUGGGGGGCUCCUUUGGUGAGGAUCUCAAUAGCAUCGAAGCAGGUUGGCAGGUAUAUUUCUGAUCUGCUCCAGACAAACCUGCAAUCUCUUUCUUCUCUGCUUUGGUACAUUGAAAGAGCUUGUGCAUGCAUUAAGUCUUGCUUGCAUGUAAUAAUCAGGUCAGCCCGGAUCUCUAUGGUGACAACAACACCAGGCUGUUUACUUAUUGGACCGUAAGCUAUACAUUCUACCGCUUUAUCAUCAUUUCUUUUCAUUAAUCCUGUCGUUCUUCCUUUUUCUUCUGUUGUUAUAAUUACAACUUUUGCUUAGAACUAUUCUAUCGCUGUGUCUACCAUGUUAGAGAUUCAAAACGAUUCAGAUGGUGUCAUUUCAUAGAUGACAUAUGCACAAUGGCUUUGUGAAUUGUGUGUUCUUUAUAGUAUCCAUACGAUGAAAUUUCAGAGUGAUGCAUACCAAGCAACUGGCUGCUACAACCUAUUGUGCUCGGGGUUCAUUCAAGUCAACAAUGAAGUUGCAAUGGGUGCCAGCAUCUCUCCGAUCUCCGACUACGAUGGUUCGCAGUAUGAUGUAUCCAUACUUGUUUGGAAGGUGCAACCAAGCCUCAAUCUGCAUUUGACAAUUCUUAUUCACUCCAUUUUCUGCGGUAAUUGGUAUGGUUCGAUUCGACGGAGCAGGAUCCGAAGGAGGGGAACUGGUGGAUGCAGUUCGGGAACGAUUACGUCUUGGGUUACUGGCCUUCUUUCCUCUUCUCUUAUUUGUCAGACAGUGCGAGCAUGAUAGAAUGGGGAGGGGAGGUGGUGAACUCGGACGCAGACGGCGAGCACACCUCGACCGAGAUGGGCAGUGGCCGUUUCCCGGAAGAAGGAUUCAGCAAGGCAAGCUACUUCAGGAACAUUCAGGUGGUGGACGGGUCCAACAAUCUAAGGGCACCCACAGGGGUUGGAGCCUUCACAGAGCAGUCAAACUGCUAUGAUGUGCAGAAUGGAAACAAUGGUGAAUGGGGGCAGUACUUCUACUAUGGAGGGCCUGGUAGAAACUCCAAUUGUCCAUAGAAACAAACCCUAAUCGAAUUCCCCCCCUUCCUUCCCCCUUGUACCAUUCUUCAGUCUGAUCCCAUCCUUAACUCAGAGGUUGUUUUGCCUGUUGUAACUCAUCCUCUCCCAUCCUUAACAAAGCUGGGGAGAGAGAGAGAGGCUGUGUCUGUGUUUCUCUGUCAUUUGCUCCAUCUUGGAGUCGUUUGUUCGGCUUAAGGCUAAAUGAUUAUAACCAGUGGAUCUCGACAUGGCUGAUGGCACUGCAACUUCUUUAGGUAGACCUAUUUGUUCUUACCCACUGCACGUUAUAGAUUCCCUGAGUUGGUCGGCAGCUUUUCCGAACAAGCUGAUGGGCGAUGAGCAGAGUGAUUACGAAGGAUCGGACGAGGCAUGACACAUGUGACAACACAGUAGGCUGUGGGUCUCUUUCAAGCUUGUGAUCACUUUUGAUAUUGUUGUCAGACGAUUUACUUUUUGAGUUGCCAGCUUCUUCUGUGUUCAUGUGAGGUGGUGCCGGUGGUGGUGGUGGUGGUGGAGCUGUCCCUGCUGUGUGACAAAAUGUCUCUUCUACCACUAUUUCUUUUACGGGGGGUGGUGGGAUUUUGGAGGCAUAUAUCCUACUGAUAGCUAUGCGAGAAUGCAAUGCUUCUUCAAUGAUCCAUAGGAUGUGGGAGAAAGUUGGUGGAGGAUCAAAUCAUGAGGUAUUGUUAUAAGGGGGUGUAAGAGAACACCAAAUGAGAAAUCUGAAAAUAAUAUAUAUAUAUAUAUAUAUAUUCUCAAAAUUCAUCCUAUCAUUUUCUUCUGUUUUUCUUUUCCCUUUAAGCUUGAAAAAUCAAUUAAUUUUAGUUAAUUGUAAAUAUUGCAUCAUUUGAUCUGCCUCUCUUACAACUCUUAUUUGUUCUGUCUUGCCCAGACGAUCACCAACUCACUAGGAAUACCACACCUUAUCCCAGUUUACUACUCCCAUAUUUAUGAGUGGCUGAUGAUUACAAUGAAUUUAUUUAUUUUUUUUAUUUUAUAAAACCAAGAUAAAAAAAUAAUAUUUGACGUUAAUCGAAGUCUUAGCUAACAUUUUUGAACUUUUAAUUUUUAAUAAAUAAGUUUGGUAAUAUUUAAAGUCUAAAAAUAUUAUAUCGGAUGAUAUUUCGAGUCGAUAUGAAAUAUGUCAGAAUGAGAUUUUGAACCCUUAAUCUUUGAUGAGUGGGUUUGAUAUAUUAUCAUAGAUCAAUAUUUAGGUGAUAAAAAAAAUUAAAUUUAAACAUCUUAAAUCAGUAAUUAAGUUAAUUAUUAUAUCUGAGUGGAGGACCAGAUCAUGAUUCGAGGUGUGCAUGCCCACUGAGAUGGGCUCCUCCUGUCUCUCUCUCUCUGAUACCGGAGGAGAAGACCGUGAAGUGGCAUGAAUAGUUAAAAGUUCUUAAUCAUUUCUCAAUUUGUUUUGGACAAAUUCCCACUCUUUUUGCAUCACACAAAAUAUCCUAAAAAAUACAAUUUUGUUUUCUUUCCUCCAAUUGAUUUGGUUUAAUCCAUUAGACCACUUGAAGAUAAUAAUAAUAUGCUAUUUUUAGGGUAUUUUAGUCGUUUGUAAAAAAUCCAUGGAAAAUUAUUUGAUGCAUUUUAUGAGAAAAAAUAACAAUAAGGGGCUUUUUAGCAUAUCAAUAUAAAUUGAAAACUAAUAGUCUAUUCUUUCAUCUCGUUGCUUAAGACAUAAGUUUAAAUGAAAAUAAAGAUAAAAUAUGAUUGAAAAGUAUAUCUUAUUAAAUGUCAUGCACCUUACAAUAUAUUUUAAAAUGAUAUAUGAUAAUGUGACAUGUCUCUUUAAAAUAUGCAACCAUACCAUCUUAAAUAAUAAAUAAUUCAUCCUCAUCUUAUCAUCUAUAGGAUUUUCUAUUUAAUUAUUCAUUAAUAAAUAUUUUAUUAAAUUUUCCUAAUAACUUCACAUAUAUCUCAUUACAAUAAUUUUUUACAUCAAUUUUGAUCACCAUUUCCAACCCAUCAGAAUCGGUCAAACGCUUUCUGCAAAUAUAUGCUGAUGCCAAUUCCCUUUCCAUUUCCUCGAGUUAAUCCAUCCUAUUGUGAAGCCCAGCCAAAGCUUUCUGCAAGUUCUGAUGGUUCACCACAGGUAGGUGGAUGACAACAGCAGUCAUCUAUUACACCACACCAAAUAAAGAAGAAGAAGAAGGAGAGAGAGAGAGAGAGAGGACAGCUGCAAUGCGGGCCUUCCGUCCUUCUCCCACACACCCUGUCAUCAACAUGCGCCCAUCAUCUCCUCCUUUCAUUCACAUUCAUUCCUUCAUUUGACAGCUUCUUCCUUUCUAAGUCUGGCCUUCUCUGCACAGCCACGCAAUAACCACAACCCCUUCUCUCCGACUAUAUAACCUCCCCCUCCACCUGAACCCAUUCCCAUCUCUCUCUCCCUCUCUCUAGGAAUCUGUGGAGAUCAUCGUCACAGUUGAUAUUUUCUUCUCUUCAACGACGAUGGAGGCUGCUCUUAAGCUCAGGCUCUUCGCCCUGGCCAUGGUGGUCGUCGUCGUGGCCUCUUCCUUGGUCGAGAAAGCCGCCGCUGCUGACGCACCCGCCCCCACCCCUACCUCCGGCGCCACUACCACCGCCCUCGCCGCACCUGCUGCCGCCCUUGCCUCGUUCUCCGCCCUCCUCUUCGGAUGCUUCCUCUACUAAGCCACAACGUCAUUGUUUCGUCACCUUGUUUCCUUUCCUUUGUUGUGAUUUCUUCAUGUAGUCAUUCUCUUCUGUCAUGGUGUCUAUGAAGAGAGAGGAAGAGAGAGGAAUAUGCAUGCAUCGACGUAUGCAUACGGCGGUGGUGGUGGUGGUGGUAGUGGAUAUGUAAUCUUCUCUUGGUGUUCAUUCAUUUAUGUUAAUGUGAUUCUUUCCCUCUUCUUUUGUCAGAAGUAAAUGAUCUAUGCUACCAUCUAAGCUUCUAAGCUUCUCAAAAAGGUUAUGGCUGCAGAACAAUUGCCGAUCAAACGCCAUUAAUUGCGUUAUGCUUUGUGCUUUGCCAAGAAGAGAGCAAUCAUCAGUUGAAGAAACUGGUGAUCCCUUUGCUCAUCAUGGCUUGUAGUUGAUUCAUUCAAUGCAUGAAGACAACAAUGAGUUGGCAAUGCUGGCUCAACAUGGCCUUGCUGUUCGCAUGGCUUCUCAGGUUCCACAGGGUCCCAUGCCAUCAAUUAUAGCAUGCUUGUUGCUCCUCCUCUAUAAUGAGUGCCCUCAAUCAAUGUUCGAGGUCGAUAGGAAUUAGAACCUUUACCUUUUGUUGGUUUCAUGUGGAACUACAUAAAGAGUUGUAGUGAUGGGGGAAAUAUCACUUGUCAACCAUAUAUACCAUUCAUUUAUUUGCUAAAUGUUCAUUUCUAAAAGCUUAAAAACUUAGUUUAUAAGUUCGUCGGGUCUCUCUAUACUUGAAGAUAAUUAUUGGUGCUCACAUCGCUCAGUACAACCAUCGCUCAUUCUAAUUGGUAGUUGAGACUUUAACUUAUAUAGGCACCCUUUUAAAAUGUAAUAUGGUGUAAAAAAAAUUAGGUUUUGAUAAAUAUUAAAAAUUAAGUUUUCAGUAAUCUUAAGUAUAUACUUAAGCUAUUAAGGAAAGGAUCCAAUUUAUAUUAAUUUUUUUACACCCUCAGUUGUCUACAAGCUGGAUUUUUUUAAUAAAAAAUAGAAAAAAAUAAUUAUGUUAAAUAAUAUACAUGGCAUUGAUAUUAUUUAUGCAAUAAUACACUAAUAAAUUCGGAUGUCUCAACAGAGACCACAAGUUGGAUUAGACUUGGCAAAUAAAAUUGAAUAAAAAUAAAUGAUGUGUAAAAUAAAAAUAAACGUAUACAUAUAUUGAUGUCAUGAUCUGCCUAUGGUAUCAUGAUAAAUAUUUUAAUUUAGUCACCAUUAAUCCUUAAAUUAUUAGGAAAUGACUCAUGAAUAUAAUCAAAUGAGUAGGUAUUUCAAGUAUAUGCCUUUAGAAUUUAAAAUGAUGAUGUAUACCACCAAGUAUUUAUUUUAAAGAGAUAUGCAUGUAUUUGAAAAGGAGUGAAAUAUUAAUAUGAUUUUGAAACUUCUGGAUUUCAGAUAUGAAAGAACACAACAUAUAUUGUUCAUAGAGUAGGGUUCAUUGCAUGUACAACCAAAAACUUGAUCUAAGUUUUAGUAAAAAUUGAUAUUUCAUGUAGGUGGGUAUGUAUAAAACCUCUCUCUCUCUCUCUCUCUCUCUCUCUCUCUCUCUCUCUCUCUCAUACACACAUACAUUCUAUAGACAUGAUGGAAUACAAGGAUCACUGAGCAUGAAUCUUUGAUGCAGAUCGAAUGCAUAUAAACAAGGGAUUCAGUGUCACUGGCAAGUUGACAAGGACAUGGAAGCUACUCUUCUAGCUAUAUGAAAAUGACAAUACUGCAAUUAUCAGCCUUCCUCUCUCAUGGUCAGUAUCAAUACACAUCUCUCAUAACUGGCUCAGCAAAGAUAUCUUUCCCCCUUAUUUUUCUUGAUUCUUUUUCUUGGUUGUUUGCAUGGCAUUUAGUCUUCCAUGCCUGACCAGAGUGGAUCUGUGGUCGACCUUUUCCUGACAAUUUGGACCUUCAAAUCACCUCCUUGUCAACAUCACUACCUCCGAUUUGCUCAAACAAUUACAGAAUAGGGUAAUAAAUUAGUGAUGAUUGAGUUGUUCUCUGUAUCAUCAAACAUUUCUCUGUUUCAGUUCCUUUGUGCAGAAUAAGCGAAGCAGAGAGUGUGUGUUGACAGUGUGAGAGAGGGAAACAUGAAACCAAGCUUUAGGCAACCACAGAAAGAAGCUGAAACGAGCACUGUAUUCGGCUGUAAUUUGAAGAGCAAGUAGAAUUAUUGCCAUGCAAGGCAGCUUUACAACGUGAUCUUAUGGCAUGCAUUUCCACAAACACAUGUAAUCUAUAGCAUUUAUUGUCGAGAAGAGUGAUCGAUCAAGCACUUGCAAUGUAUCCUCCAAAUGAGAUGUGUGCCCUCGUCAUGGGAGCUCCCCUCGCGGCUGACAGUGCCUGGUUUAGCCUUGCUGCCUGUUGCACAACCUCCUUCAUUCUCUGCAAUCACAUCACACAAGAGGAACUUAGGAUGGGAUUAGAUUAUCUUAAUUGAUCGAUGAGCAGUACCUUAUCGUGGGUGUAGAUCUUGAACUGGAUCUUAGGUUUCUGAUGCUGUCGGCAGCCAAGGAUGAAGAUGCAGAUAGUAGCAGCAGCAGCUGCUGCUGCUGAUGCUCCCAUGGCGCAGAAGGCUCCAAUACCUGUCGAUCUCCAAUUCCCCGGAGGAGGAAACCCGAAGCCUUUGAUCUCGGAUCCUGCAUGAUCUUUCUCUUCUCCCUCUUCCCUGACUUGCGAUUCCACGUCUGGUGUGACGACGCCGAUGUCUUUGAAUCCUUUGGCUUCAGCAUCAUCAUCUGAGUUAUUCUCCAUGGUUGGCUCUGAGUUCUGCUGCUGCUCCAAGAAAGAUUGUGAUGGGCAGAUGAAGUAAUUGGCAUCAAGUGUGAGCUCCUUGAGCACCAAAUCAUUUUGACUGCCAUGGCUGAAGUCCAGCAAGCUCUUGUCAUCAGGGAGGAACUCCCAGUCAUCGAGAUCCCUCUCCAGGCAAGAUUUCUCCAUGUGAUCAGAAUUAGGGACGACUGUGUGUGUGUGUAUGAGAGAGAGAGAGAAGAGAGAAGAGAGAGAGAGAGAGGACUUAUCCUUCCACCUGCCAAGACUUUUCCUAUAAAUCUAAUUCCCAACUUUUGUUUGACGACUUGCAGAGGAGGAAUGAGUUCUAAUUCCUCGAACAGUUCUUGUGCAUGAUUGGGCUGUCUGCCAGUCUCUGUCUUGGUCUCUCUCGCUCUCUCUGCUUCACACAUUAAUUCCAAUAUGCACAGUUAAGGUUUGGGUUCGUUCGAGCGUCACGAGUUGGUUGCGGCAAGGCGAUUCGAAAUGGGUGCGCCACAUGAACCGGGCGACUCGGGCGUGCGGCUCAAUUAAAUCAGGGAUUGGGUUCCGUUGAGCUCGAAGUAGUUGAUUGGGCUGAACCAUUUCAGCCAACUAAAUCCUUCCCCAUGACGCGAACCGGAAAGGACGAACCAUUGCUGCCCCUCACCCGCACGAACUGUCGCUGCCCGAGCCGCUCUCCUCCCUGUCGAGCAGCUGCUCACCCCUCCGGCGGUACCUCUCUCUCUCUCUCUCCCUACUUCCCUUCACUCUUCUCCCUUUUCCACCAGCAGCCGCCGCCCUCUCUGCCUCAGGCAGCCCUUUGGCGCCUCCGUUCUCUCUUCCCCAGCCGCCGCCAUUGUUGAUGCACCGAUGCCUUUUUUUGCUGAUGUGAUGCCAUUGGGUGCAAAUGUCACGUUUAUAUGAAAAUUAGGAAGAUUUCGACACACUUCAAAAUAAAACAUGAUGAAAAUUCUAAGUUUUUUUAAUCCAAAUAUUUUAGUAGCCUUAUAAUAUUUGUGACAAUUUACUGUGAGGGAACGAAAAUAAAAAAAAAGAUAAUAUGUUAUUUUAUUGUAAUAGUUGGAAAUUCGGCUUAGCUCAGAUUAGAUUUCAAUGGAAAACCUAUUUUCUUAAAAGGAUUUAUAUUUUUAUGUCAAAGAAAGAAACCCUCUUUGGGGAAUAUAGGAAUGUAAGCCCUAAUUUAUAUAUUAUAUUUGCCAAAUAUGAAGCUUUUCCCAUGAAAUUUUAAUCUUGCGUCGGAAAUGAUAUUGUAUUUGUCAAUGCAUGAUGGAGUGGGGACAGAACUGGAAUUUACGUAUAGGCUCCACUCUGCCUCGAUGGGCCGGGCUUGAAAUAAAAGCCCAUUAAGACAAUGCUACGAUUGGCCCAUUACAUGCUCCUCUAGGGUUUCGCUUCCCUCCCCUGCGGUCGGUUUCGCUUCUGGAUAUCUUAGCACGGGCGACAGCGCAGAGAGGGGUGUUUGGUUCCUUUUCCUCGAGCUCGUCUCGGUAGGUUGUCAUCCUUCCCGAUCACAUUACUCUUCUUGGCUUCUCUUUGAUUGGUUGCUGCGAUGUUUUUGAGUUUUGGCGAUAUGCAAUUGUUCUUUCUUUCGCGUUUCUUGGUCUUUCAUCGUCUUCAUCAGAUCAAUUUGUACAGCAGAUAAUACUUGCGUUCCCGUCAUUCUUUAAAGGUUUAGUUGUUUGCUUGCAACUUAGAAGUAGGUCAUCUAAUGCCAUGCAGUACUAAUGUGGAAGUUGCCUUUGUGCGUGCGUGAGAGAGAGAGAGAGCAGUCCGCGUUGUAGGACACGAAGGCCACAAGAACAUGUCAAUAUAAAACCCAUUUGUCUGCUAAAGUCCACAGCCUAAAAGAGGGGAAUCAGCCACCAUAGCAGUUGGAAAAAUGUACUGCUUUCAUUAGAUGGGGGUUGAACCUUAGACCUCCAGUGAUGGAUGAGAGAUGCUAUACCAUUCAAGGAUAAGAGAUACUGGAGAGGUUACUACUGUUGUUAGGAUUGUCAUUUAUUUUUAAUACAUAAUGAAAAGAAAAUUUUGUGAAACCGAAUGGCUCAAGUUUGAGCCCAACAAUCUAUUCUAUGUUUUCUUCACAAUAAUGCAUUUGUUUUGCUCGUAGUGGCAGCCAUAGUAAAGAUUGAAGAAUCAAGUUUGAGAUCAACAAUGCAUUUCCUGCAAGAUAACGGAAUUGUAUACCCAUCAAAAUUUUGUUGUAGAAUCUUUUACAAGUUCCUCCAAGGAAAAUUCUAACUUGGCUUUGUUCUAAAAUGCAUGUUUUUUUGUAUAACUCAGUUUAAUUGUGUCUAUGAUGGUUCACUUAACUUAAGAUUUUCUUGCUACAUAUAUGGUUCCUUAUGUUAUUUGCAUGAUGCAAAAAAAUUGUAAGAAAUAUUGAAAAAGAAUUGUUGAUGCGCUGAUGCAUUUUUUUGCUGAUGCGAUGUUAUUGGGUGCAAAUGUGGUUACCUGUGUCAUUUUUUGUUCAAUAUGUCAUGUUUAUAGAUCAGUCUUGUGAUAUGCAGGAAUAAAUUGACUCCUGAGUUGCAUACAAGAUGAGAUUAGAAAAGUGUUGGUUCUGUUCCUCAACCAUUUAUCCAGGCCAUGGAAUUCAGUUUGUUCGAAAUGAUGCAAAGGUAAGGCCAUGUUUUCCGAAUUAAUUCAUCUGGAAGACUGGUUUCCAGGCUUCUUCAAAAGAAAGGUGUUAUAAUAUAAAAUUGGGAGACUUGUACCAUUUGAAAAUAUGAUUGUUACUCAUAGUACUACAAACUUGGUUGUUUGUGUGACUCUUGUGCUUUAAGCUCCUUCACUAUUAUCUGACAGACUUGUACUAAUCCUUUAUAUGUCAUAAAUCUUAACCCUAUUAUGAUAUUAUUUUAAUUGCAUGUUAUUUCAGUUUGCUCUCUUCGUUCAUCUAUAUCUAAAUUGGUUAUAUCCAUCUUUCAUUAUGCAGAUGUUGUUUUGAUCUACAAAUCAUGCUUUCAUGAUGAAAUCAAAAUGGCCCUAAAUGGUCCUAGUUCAUUACUUGGAUUAUGAUUUCAUAUGAUUGUAACAGAUAAGUCUUUAUUGUUGGUGAGAGAAUGCCAUAGAUUUCAAGAUUGAACUUGAUUAUUUUCUUUUAUGUACACACACACACACACACACACACACGUGUUCUCAUUCUUUUGUUCAUUAAAUUUUGAUCUCUUGUUUCCUUUUGUUUUUUAUAUUUUCUGAAUUGCUUGAGCUUUAGAAAGGACAAGGAGAAAGGAACCCAAUGAUCCACAAUUUGAUUCAUGAUCUGAUAUAAUCUUUGUUAGGUGUAAUGCAUUCAUAUUUUUCUGUUCAUCAAGUGUUUGGCUCUUAUUUACUAUUAUUUUCAUGUUUUCUCAAUUGUUUGAGCUUUAGAAAGCACAAGAAGAAAAGAAUCUAUCUCUCAUGAACCCUCUUAGUGAUUCUUAUCUGAAGUAAAGUAGUCUUUUUCUUAGUUUUUAUGAUUUUUUUAGAAUUCUAAAUUAUUUUCAUGGAUUCCACUGAUCUGAUUCAUUAAUCAGACUGAUACUGAUCGUUCUGCCAUCGUAAGAUCUCAAUCCCUAUUUUGAGCGAUGGGCUUCUUACAGAAUUCUAGCAUGCAUUAUGGUCUUUUUAGCUUACCAGCAGUCAACAAGAUGCCAUGGAAACAGGUGUAGUCCAGUGCUUAUUGGAUGAACAUGCCUCAUUCAGUUUUAUGAAAAUAGAUGCUAUACAAAGAAUUUACUUUAAAACCCAGUCAAAUGAAGGCAUUAUGUUCAGUUUCAUCAAAAUAGAUGCUGUACCAUAUGUCAAGAUGAGAUUGGGGUUGAUUUUGAUCAGAUCUGUGUUAAAGAAAAACUGAUCUUGAUGUCCCAACAGAUUGACAUAAGUCAAUCCGUAAGUGCACGAGUUCCAAUAUGAAAACCUGAUUCAUUUGGUUUGAUUUGGUUAGUCUUUCAUGUUUUCCAAUGUUUGGACUCAUGACAGUAGUACAGUGGUGAAAAAAAACCCCAUUGGAGAAGAAUGAAAUAGAACAUGAAACUGUGGGCUCCUGUGUAGUGGGAGGAGAUUUUAUGAUGAGAUAAUAUCUAAACAUUCUAUGUUUUAGAUGAUCAGAUUGCGUCAUAAGUAUAACGGAUGGUUGUUGACUGGCAUCUGAUCCAAUUAUGAAUUAGACAAUCAGAAUAGUUUAAUUGGAUUGUACUGAUAAACAAUCAGAUUAAGAUUUGUUCCAAUAAACAGUUCAAAUUUGUUGAGAUAGCAUCAUAUCUGAUCCAUUGAAAGACAUCUUUGGGGAACUAUAUGAAGUAAAAGCUACAUAGGAACUUAGAGCCAACAUUCUUCAUUUUGUAUGCCAAGUUGUGCAGAAUAGCUUAAGCCUAUGGCUCCGCUGCUUCUGAUGAUUUAUAUUAUCAAGGUUCAGUUAUGUAUACAUACAGUUUGUAUGUCAGCCAUGGUUUGUGAAGUCUAAUGCGCAUGAAAACAUUAUUAGCCUAUAAUGUUGUUUGCUAGUUCCUAUUGUCAUCGAUGAAAGUUCUUUUGCAGAUAUUCCGAUUCUGCCGAUCAAAAUGCCAUAAGAAUUUCAAAAUGAAGAGAAAUCCUCGCAAGGUGAAAUGGACAAAGGCGUAUAGGCGAUUACAUGGGAAGGAUAUGACUCAGGUUAGAAAUGCUAGUGUGAUACUUUUUUCUGUGUUUCUUUGUUUAAGUUGCUGAAAUUGCAUGACACGAUGACUAUCUAAUGACUGCUAUCCCUGUUAAGGACUCGACAUUUGAGUUUGAAAGGAAGCGUAACAGGCCUGAAAGAUAUGAUAGGAAUGUCACAGAGAUGACGCUGAAGGCUAUAAAGAAGAUUGACAAGAUCAGAGUGACCAGGGAGGCUCAACACCACAAAAUGAGGUUGGUUUCCGUUACGAGUGGUAUCCCAUUUUCUUCAAUUUGCAAUUUAUAUUCUGAUAUGCCAUACUCAUAUAUCUCACAGGAUGAAGGGUAAUAAAGCAAUCGAGCAAGAGGCGGCAAUUAAGGAGUUGGAGAACAGUAUUAAUUUGGUCAAAGCACCUGCUGCCCUGCAGCAGGGAUCAGAAAUUACUCUUCCAAAGAUCAAAGUCAAGGUUUCUCAAUCACAAGAUGUGGGAGAGCGAAUGGAAGAAUAAUGGUAAUCUGGACAUUCAUCCAUCCUCCAAUUUAAAAGUGCCAUAUUAAGUUUUUGUUUUCUUUUGUGUGUUUGCACAGUUUAUGAGUGGGUGGUUCCUUGGAACAUUCUUCUACUGAAAGAUGGAUGGAUGCUUUGCCAUGGAUGUAGCUGAAAUAGUAGUUGGGAGAACAACAUUUUGUGCUUAAUUGUCUUGGUUGGUAAUGGAUGGUUUUUUUUUUUUUGUUUUAGUGGACACGUUAUUUGAUCACAUUAACAGAAAGCUUCUGAUGCAGCUCAAAAAGAACAUGGAAUGGUUGCAAUCUUCGCAUUUCGUGAUUGAUUGAUAUUACUAGUGUUGUUGUCAUCGAGCGUUUCCCGCCCCGACGAGGUGAGUCGAGUGCCUCAGAAUUGGUCCGAGAGGGCAAAUUGAAGCAGGUGUGGUUUGGAGGAUUGAUUGAUUGGGCUCACCCCAUGCGUGCGAGCCCUAUCGACACCACCACCUUGUGUCGCGCGAUUCGACAUGUGGUGGCCCUUAGGCACGUUGUUGCAUAUACCUUUUGCAACCGAGAAGAAACCUAACCUAAACUGUGAUCAAUUCAUCUGCAUGGCCCUUAGCCCUUGGGCUCGUGGGGGCCCGUCCGACGUUACCUUCUCCCCUCUCAUGAGGGGCAGAACCCUCCCUCCUCAUCCUCUUUUUUUACUCCAUCCUAUUUUUUUUUUAAUAUAAUAAUAAUAAUAAUAAUAUUUCUAUUUAAUUAUAAUUUUUAUAUAAUUUUAAUAUUUAUGAAUAUUUUGCUUGUACUCAAAGCGACAACUUAGCGCCUCCAGCCUAUCCCUACCCUCUUUCUCCUCCAUCGUUGUCCUCUAUCAAGCCUGCCUCCCAACAGUCUCACCCUCCCCCCUCUCUACUCGGUGCUUCUUCCGUCGACCAAUUUGUGUGUUGAACGGAUCUAUUUGAAAAAGUAUAUAUAUAUAUAUAUANNNNNNNNNNNNNNNNNNNNAUAUAUAUAUGCUCGAGCGAGAGCACCUAACGCCUAUGCCUAUAACGAUCAUAAGCACAUGUAACUGACAGCAUGUAUCGCUGCUUUAUUAUCAUCUGCUAAAAAGGUCUUGCAAUCUUAUUUCUUGAAUUCAUCUGCAUUGCACAUGAAACCUUGUAAGCUCAAUUCUCAAAAGGUGAGUAUCGUGAUCUUGCUCCUGCAUAAUUGGAUCCGUGGGAUGUCAGUGUGUUUCACUUCACCACAGCGUCGUAAUCAAAUUGAUAUCAUUCAAGCUAAGUCGGAUAAUUAACUCAGGUGUCAUAUUCUCUACCACCUACCCCCCACCCAGCACUCCUGGGAAUCUAUCUGAUGAACGAGAGAGAACUGUUAAUCGAACACUGUGUAAGAAGACUUUAGAAGCUUCCUAUGGUAGGAUAGGAGGAAGAAAGAAGCUUUACGGGAAGGGAUAACAAUAAUGUGGACUUCUUUUUGUGUUUUUAUUCGAACCAUAAACAACUUUAGGGACUUAAUAUCUAAUGCCACACUUUUAUUGUUCCUGUGGCAAUCACAAGAACUCGAAACGGCCCAAAGUUGCAGUCACAAACAAUUUAGUGAAGUCUAGUACAGGACAAAUCUUUUGCGGCAUCUAUUGCCAGUUAUCAAUCAGGAGACCCUGUCGUUUGACACAGCUAAGAAUCCACCAGUCGAAAGUUUUGAGUCAGGAACUCGUCUAUCAUUUAACUCAACAAUAAAAGUUUUUGUGGCAUGAAAUGGAAGUAGUGCAGAGUGACUAAAAAUGAUAUCAGUGGUGUGUCAUCUACAGAAGAUUAGUGAUACCAGGGAUAGCAUAUUACCACAAUAAGACUGUCUUUUGACACAAAGCUAAGAAUCUACAAGUAAAAAGUAAGGCCAAUGUUCUUCAUGAAUCAAAUUCCAACAAAGUUUUACCAGUCAGGAAGAACUCAUUAAUGUCUAUAACAUUUGUCCCACAACAACAAAAGUAUUUGUGGCUUGAAAUAGCAGUGUAGUGCAGAGUGGCGAAUACUAGUUGUAUGUCAACUACAGAAGAUCACUGAUGCUAGGAUAGCAUAUUACCAUACCAGUUAUGUACUCAAUGCCCCUUCAGGUUUCGUUUAAUGGAACCUCUGGUUUUGGAAGAGUCCGAGCGUGGCUGAGACCUCAUCCUUCCUGAGUCAUGUGGUCGCUCAGUUGAUGGAAGCACCCAUCCUCUUGUGUGCUUUUGACUGCUGUUGUUACCACUCCCUACACGACCACACAUGGAUAUAGAGUUAAACAUCAUUGGGUUAAUAUGGCAGAGCAAUUAAGCCAUGCAAAAACAAACUAAAAGAUUAUUAGGCUUUUCUGUUAAAAAAGAAACAGUCACAAAGAAAGGAGUCAAUUUCAAAGGGUCAGUAUGACUGAUGCAUUAAUCAAGGUUGACAAAAGCAAAAU